UGGUAGUCCUGGAAGUAGGCUUCAUCUGCUCCUGUGCCUUCUGGAACCAGACUUUCCACUCCUAUGGCAUAAACUUCAGGUUGCAAAAAUGGACUGUCUUACUAAGCUGGCUACCUUGCUGCUUACGUUGAUUGUGAAAUUCCAGUAUUCAUGGCGUCAGGAGCUAAUAGGUAAAGUAUCCUGUUGCAAGUCAAGUUUGAGUGGAAUCCCUUGUUUCAGUUAAAGAAUCAUUUGAAAUGCUUUGUUGCCCACAAGUACGCGUGCGAUAAAAGCCUCUAAUAUACGUGUGAGAGAGGUUCUUGGCCCAAGUAGUAGAUAUAAGAAGCAUAAGCUGUCUCAAUAGUAGGAGCAGGGGAAUCAACAAGUUCAGAAGCAGUUAGGUAACAUAAUUCCAUCAGUGGUGCUCCAGAGAUAAAUAAUCAAAGUGGUUUCCUUUCUUCCAUGUCCUCUUUCUUUUGCUUUUGCUAUCUUAAUUCUUGUAGAGUUGUUAUAGGCCUAAGCAUAGUGUUUUUUAUAGGAACCGUUGAUCGAUUAUAGGUAUUCAAUGAUAGGAUCUUUCCGCUAUUGAGUCUAAGAACAUAUGGCUUAAAGGACACAAAAGUAUACCCUCACUUUCUCCUUUUCAUAAUAAUGUGAGAGCUAAGUAAACCUUGAAUUGAGUUAUCCACUAGCCUGUAGUUGUGCUUCCGCUCUUGCCUCCUCCGUACAGUUGUUGAGCGGUAUAUGCUUUCUUACUGCUGUUUAGUAAGUAUCUGCUUUGAGUAGGUAUCUUGGCGGUAGAAGAGUAGAAGAAAAAGGGCAACCAAGGCUAUUUAGAAUCUAGUAAUCCAUAACCAAUAAGUCAGCGAGGAAAUAUUCCAUAUUUAGUAAUCAAACACGGAGAGAGGUAGGCCAGGGAACCAACUAGUGCACAAAGUUCAGUUCAUGAGUGGAAUCGUACUCAGAUGCAGAGGUUCAGUCAUGAGCUGGAUCAGAAGAUGUAGAAGAAAAAGGAACAGAGUAUAAAUAAUAAGCAAAGGAAUCCUUCGUUCGAGUGAAAGUAGCAAAAGAAUAAGACCCUAUUGGCUUUUACGCUAAGAGAAGCAUCAGCUGUAUCAGAAUCCGUUCGAUAUCUCGGUAUUGGCGGUUCAGAAAGUGAAGUGAGAGUUUAGUCUGCAAGAUCAGGAGUCAGAGUGGAUACUGUGUAGGUAGAGUGCAAACUUUGUAGUAGUUACUUGGCUGGUCUUCAACUCGCCGAGCAAUCACUAUUCAAUCUCUCUUUGUCUUCUGUGAGGUGGUUGCAACACCUAUUUUGUAGCUCAUCUCUGUGGAGCUCAGUUUGACCUAUCUGCUCAAUUCCCUUUUUCUUAUUUAGUUCCUUUCUUAGGGGUGUCUAAGAGUACUUGCAUGAAAUCUGCUCAGUAGCUCAUUCUGAGUUUCAUAGGGUAGGGUCCAACUCUAUAUGCGCCAGCUGAAUACUCUAAUAUUAGAAUCUAAAGUAGUAUAGAUAUAAUAGGAAUGUUCGAAUAUUCGGAAUGAUAGAAUAUUAGGAACGGUCGAAUAGAAAGUAGUAUACAUGGAAUAGGAAUGGCUUACAUUUGGUGCCCUAAAUAUGAGAAAGUGAGAAUUGGUGCCCUAAAUAUGAGAAAGUGAGAAUGGAAUUGAAAACACCACUGAUGAGUUCAGCUCGGAACCGCCAAGAGAGGAUGCUUGCUCAGCUCGGAACCGCCAAGAGAGGAUGCUUAAGAAAUAGUAAUAACUCGAGAAGCUACUGUAUACAAGUAGGGAGUAAUCUAAGUAAUAAAUAGCUUUCUCCUUUAGACGAGUGUGAGUAAUAUCAGAAUACAGGGCUGGAGCAUGCUCGGGAAUUCAAUAUGAAGCAGCAGAGGCGGUUGCCAGACGGGCAGUUUCCUCAGUGCUGUAUCGAAGUUGCUGUAAGUAAACUCCAUUCUUAAAGGCAGUAACACAUACUUUACUGGAUUUACAAGAUAAGAGAGGUCCUUCUAGUAAGUUGAAGACAAACAAUAAGUGACUUUCUCGGGUGCCAGAUCAUAGGACUUGUUGUUGUCAAAGGAUCUGAACUCGUUAAGUCUAGUUUCGAAGAAGAAUAAGGUCCAUGGUUCGAGGAAUCAUAAAGUAUCGGCUUUGAAGAGGAAAACAGAAGAACGCACUCAAUCCUCCUCCCUUUCCCAUGCUUCACGAGUGCAUAAAAUACGCCUGUGAGGGUCGACGUUCACCAUGACAGAUUGAACAGUGCCCCCAGAGAUUUGGAGGGUAAUAUCACUCACAUAUUCAAGGGGUUCAGGUGAAGCGGUACACCAAUCACGGGGAGCGGAAAAGUCUUCGACCUCAAAGUCAUCUCUAGAAGUGGAAAAGUCUUCGACCACAAAGUCAUCUCUAGAAGUAAAGGUGAGGGCAAGGGCAUUGGAAAUGGAGAAGCCCUUUAUAUAAGCUUGUAUAGGCCAUGCUGCAUAACAAGCAACCUCUGAAGCGGGAGAUGCGGUAUCCAGCGUGAUGUCCUCCUCCGAACAAGCAUCUAGACAGCUAUAGCAUUGAUCCAGCUCGGGAGAACAGAGGAUACCCAACACAAAGGGUCGCCACUGCCUAGAUCAGCUAUUGAACAGUGUCCAUUUGAGAAAAGCUUCCUUAUCUUGUUCUGCGCGGAGCUGCUCCCGUGACUUUCCAGAAAGGGACUCAAGCAAAUUCAGUGAAGGAAAAGCAUUCAUCCUUCAGGGGUAGGCAACAAGAAUCGGAUCUUUGUGUGUGUACCUGAGCCGUAUGUAAUUGAGCAUUGAAGUUGAUAUGUUCAUGUAAUAUGUGCCGAUGCCUCUCCACUUGCUGAGUAACAACUAUUUGGAUCUUAAGUUCAUCAGAGAUUUUGAGAAAACCGAGAUCACCCUGCACGAGAAGAUUUUCCACGAGUUCACCAGCUAGCUUAUGAUACGCGGGGUCCCUAGUUGACUUCCAUUUCUUUAUGUCAUUCCACUUUUGAUGGGUAAGUUGCGUAGGGAAGAGAUGUAUCUCAGCUUGCAAUUCAUUAGAUUUUAUAUUCAUGAGUUUAGCAUUAUUCCAUAACACAUUCUUAUGCUGCAAACGCCUAUGGAUGCAGCCCCAAAGUGUAGAAAUUCAUCUAUCUUCUCUGAGCUGUGGGAGCCUACUAUGGAAUUUCAAGCGCAUAAAUCUUUCAUGAAAAGGUCCUUGCUCUCUGAAACUGCGGACAGGGUUGCUCAUUAUUGUGACGACAGAGACGUUCUUCCUCUUAUUGAAAAGUCGACCAUCCUUGGUAUCCAACCAGCACUGCUGCCCAUCGAGGACACGCAAUAGGGUGUUAUUUGUAGAAGACAUUAAGCCAUGACCAACAUCAGAGCUCACAGAAGAGUCCUCGACCAAAUGGAACUCAUCGAAUAACCAAAGAUCAUAAUGGUCGUGCGCACCCGUAAAAUCAUUAGAGAACACAGCCCAAAAGCAAAGCCGAAAGCCAACAAAAGAAAGAAAGCAAUUAUAUCUAAAGAAAGCCCUCCAACUGAAGAAAUAGCUGCGAAUGCAAGCGGAACUGCCUUACUGUCCUCGGAGGGUUAAUCAAUAGGAAUAGGCUAUGAAUGCCCAGCCCAAUAUGACACGGGUCUUUUGCUUUUAUGUUUUCUCAUCUAUAGAAUCCGCUGUUCUCGAACGGAACACUCGCUAACGUUUAGGCUCUGAACAAAACUCCUUACGCUAGAAAACGAUUGGAAAGAGUGCCCCCCCCUCUAUCGAUCAAAUCCAAAGGGGAAAGGAACCUGACGCAAUUCCUGAGAACUAUGACUAAGCAUGGCAUGCCUCUAAAGAUCGCUUCUUCUAAGAAUGGAUAUCCCUUGCCCUGGCUUGAUUACGAAGAGGAGGCUGUCUCAUCUCAUGGGAGAGUCGAAGCCCUACGGCUAGGACGUAAGCCAGCCGGAAACCUACAAAUCUACUUUAGCAUUUAUGUGCCACAACUUGAUGGGUGGACGGAGAUCCAAAAUAUUCUCUGUCAACGGAUUCGAGUACUUGAUUAUUGCAUACGUAAGAAAAUGUCACGUAUAGACAAGAAGCAAUGCGGAGUAUGGACAAGAAGCAAUGCAGAGUAUAGACUAUUGGAUUGCCCCCCCAGGCCACUUAUUUCUAUUUAUUUUAUCUGAUUGGAAAAUGCAUAAUUGGAUCUGAUUGGAAAAUGCAUCGAAUUGCAUACAGCAUACAUACGUAUGAAAUGAAAACACACCUUCCCCAGCGGUGCCAUCAAUGAGAAUCGAAGCGAAGCAAGCACAGCCCCAUUGCCAAGUCUUCCUCAAAUCAAGCUUCCUCUCUGUAUAAAGUCAACAAUCUUUCUCUUUUCUCUUUGAGUUUGGUAGAAUCUUAUUCAUUUCUUUCAGUGGUAUUCGAAUGAUAGGGGUAUUUCAAUAGAAUUCCCAUCAAAGAGGAAUCCGUGUCCUAGAUCACUGAUAUGACGGUAACCUUAAGUUUCUGCAAGGGAUAAGGAAGAAAGGGAUAGAUUCAAUUGAUAGGCUCGUGCAAUCUAUAGUCUAGAUUCCAUUCUCUCGAUCCACUCUCAUUUAUCUAUGUCAUUUCCAGAAUUUCUCUAUGUCAUUUCAAGAUACGAAAGACGAAAUAGAAUGUUGGUAUUGGGCCAUAUCAAGCGGAACUGAGUAUUCUAUUAGACUAGAAGAUUGCCUGAUUCUGCAGGAUAGAAAAAGAGUUUCAGGAAGGUCACUUCUCUAAGUCCGGCCACCACAAAGCAAUGCCAUUCAGAUGGUAACAGGAGAAGACCCGGGCUGUUUCCUUAGGAGCCUGGUUUAGGAAAGUGAAAAGGGGCUACAAAAGGAAAUACCUAAAUAACUCUGGGAAAUAGUCAUCUCCAAAAAUACCAAAAUGCUUUUGAAGAAAUUGGCCGCCAUGCCCGACAUCAAGUGGAAGAGUAAACAUUCCUCUUUAUACAAGACAAGAGACCUUGUGGCCCUAAGGUAUCUAACUACCUCCUCUUCCUGUUCUAUUGAUCAAAAGCAUCCCGCAGCGCCAUGCCUUAUUUCAUAAGUAGACACUUCCCUGAUCCCCACGACCAUGGAGAAUAUGGGAGCACCGCAAGCCUAAGAAUGUUUCCCCCCCUUAAUCCUUGCUGCCUCUGUAAGAGUGGGCCUCUUCUCAUGAUUUGGGUGAACACUGUCAAGUCCCACCAUAAGCAUCCUACGCAUCUCCACUGCAUGAAACGUCCCUUUCCACUUUGGAUCAACUGCCUAAAUAUGUUGACCUCUAUCUCUUUAGCUCCAUACCUAAUAAACAAGCACCGUACCAGCAUCAUCGACAGGCCUUUUCCGUCUAGCUACCUCUAGCACCACUACACCGAAGCUGUCAACAUCUGUUUGAUGUGAUAGAAGACCAGAAUCUACAUAUUAUUGAGCAAAGCAAGAUAUCCCAUUGUCCCAGCGGGUAUUCUAGAUUCUCUGGUCAUAGAACUAUCUGAACUAGAUGCAACUCAAAAGAAAGCUCCCACUCCAUUUGUUCCUACUCCAACUCAGGAAUUCGAAUAGAAUCUUUCGUACCGAGCACGUGGUAUAGAUCUUUGGAAAACCAUACCUUCCCUUCAUUCUUCAACGGAAACGGACCCCGAGUCAAACAGCCGUAAAACAAUUCUUUCUUGAACAACUUCCUUACGCGGUAAACUCGCUGACGCAAAACUAGCCUUAGCACAAAGUCUUGCUUCUACUUAUGAUCUUUAUAUCUCUCCGGAAUCUGAUGCUUCUUUCUCUUGUCGACUCCACUUUCCCGUAUUCUUCUCCUUUAUCUGAAACGAGAACUCUACUUUAAGACGAAAACUCCAGAGAUGAGCAUUCCUUUAGAUGAGAUUACUUCUUUCGCACCCUGAACUAAGGUAAGGAGUAUCAUAUAGUAAAGUAUGCGCCCAUGGAAAAGAAUGGAAUUGAGUGCACCACUGCUUUCAAAGUCAACCGAGCAAGCAAGCGUAGAACACGAAAAACGGAAAGGAAGCAAUACUAUGUUGAGUUUUGUAUAUAUAAUAUAUUAUCCUAUAAGUUUGUGAGAUUCUAUUCUUUGUUCUCCUAUAUUAGUUAGAUUCUAUUCUUUGAUUACAGGCCAGUAUCGCCCUACGGGUUUAGCGGCGCAUAUAGCUCUAAAGUGCAUUCGGCUAACGGAGCGCUGUAGAUGAAAAGUCAGGAAAGGCAGCUGUGAGAGCUGUUUUCAAGAGAAGAAUGCCCAGAUGAAGCAUAAGCUGUGCGAAACUAAGGUGUUGUCGAUGAGAAUGAAUCAGCGGAAUAAGGAUCUAGAUCCGUAUAUGAGGCAAGAUCAGAAGUGGCAAGCUGUUCGGUUGAAAGGGGAGUUGUUAAGUGGCCGUUGAGUAAACUCAUUCCAUUCCAUUCUGAAGUCGUUGCUUGGCGAGUGGAGUCUAGGAGUACGAGUAGUCGCUUGGCGGGCUCUUAGUGUGUGAGCUUGAAUAUAGGUACGAAAGUUGUCGUAGAGAGUCUUUCCCGACUUGUAGUUAAGGGUAGUGAGUCGUCAAUUAAAGCGCUAAGUAUAAGUUGUAUGAAAGAAGGGCUUUGAAGCGCUAAUUAGUAUGAGGGAAGGGCUUUUUCAGCACAGUAACUACUUUCAUUGACUACGAGUGUCGGGUGCGAGUGCUAAGUUUCAGUGUAGAAUUGCCCUAUUGCCUAAAGCAGAAAGAAUGGAAUGUUAGUGCAAAAGAGAAUCGAAUUGAGAAGCACCCUGCUUUCUACUGCUUGAGCAACGUUGAAUUAAUCAGAAAAGAACUGAACGACAACUGGACAUCUAAUAUAAGAAGAGAGGAACGAAACAGCUGACUAUAUAAGAUAAGAGAAGAGCAAAACGACUUACUAGAUUCUCUAACUGCUGAUGAAAAUACAAAUGACUUACUAUACACUCUACUCUGUCUUACGAACCCUAUAUACUCUACUCUGUCUUACGAACCCUAUACUAAUUGACUUGAUUCUUGCCUAAAGCUAGCGACAUUGCUUGUUUGCUUGUUCCCCGAAACAAUAAGUGGAUUUGCUUGUUCCCCGAAAGUAAGCUGUAAGCAUUAGAAAAGUCAGCUGUAAGCAUUAGCACGUUGCUUGUUCCUAAGUGCCUUAGUCGUUAGUGAUUGAGUUAUAUUAUAUGGUUUUCAAGCGCAAAGUAAUAAAAGAGAAAGUCAGAAAGGAAUUGAAAGCAUAACUACAAGCAUAACUUUAGUGCUACACUUCACUCUACCACUGCUUUGCUAAUCAAACUCAUAUCAUGGGCACACCCCGAACUAUAGAAUAGAAUUGAUGGAACUCCACGACCGAUGUCAAUAGGAACAGGCAAUUCUUAUGCUGACUUAGCUUAGCGCUUGCUGGUUCAUUUGCCAGGUAGUAAUCCUAAGAGCUAGAAUGGAGUGUCUACACCUAUAAUAAAGGAGAGUCAAAGCUAAUUGAGUGCACCUAAACCUUGUAAGCUAAUUGAGUGCAACUACACCUAUAAUUAAGUAAAGUAAGCUAACUCAUAACUUGCUUCUUGUUCCGGCAAACGCCUCUAACGCGCACCUUUCCUUUCAAACAAAAUCCAAUAGGCUCUUAGCACCUUUAAAUCCAAUAGGCUCUUAGCACCUUCCUUUCGCCCAAAGCAUACCGAACUCGACUUUGAUAACCGCAAACUCGAACUUCCAUUCAGGAAGACAAUCAGAUCAGGCAAUUAUGGAGUCGACAACACAAGAACUGAAAGAUAGACUCUACACAAGUCAAUAACUCCAUGAAACCACUCUUUUGGCUACUCACUUAUUGAAGACCCAAGAAUAGAUUAUUCCCCGACCUAUACAAGAAUAGCAGCUAACUAUAGAACUGAACAAGAUCCUUACCGAAGAGUCCAGUUAGCUAUCCCAUCUUGCUUCGCCACUUAUGCUAGCCGAGAGAAAGGUCUAUGAAAGCAGUAUUUACUUCCGGAGAAACACCCUUAUUCUUUCCUUGACUAAAGCAGGGUUCAAUCUAUCCUUCCUCCAGCUCCGCUCUGGUUAGCACGGAAAAGCUGGAAUGGAAAAUGUAUUUCCUCUCUGUUUCCUUCCGUGUCGUUCCGGUGUCUUUUGAUUCUUCAUUCUCAACAGGAAUGCAUCAAAAUAAGUUCCCGCUACUGCCUUGACCCAUCCUCUUUGAUUCUGAUUGUGGGGCAUGAAAUAUAAUGUAUGGACCAAUGUGAAUAUAUGUAUAUCGGCUAAUGGUAUGCUAUUUCCUAUUUGAGAAUUUCGAUCCAGUAUUUCGUAUCUUAUAAGCGCUGGGGGGCGUGGCCAAGAAGCAGUUCCCCCUUACCCCCUUAAACUCGGCCGUUCUUCGCUGUGGGAACAAGGUCUUAGUAUGUAUGGGCAUUCUGGGCGCAAUAAGUAGCAGGUCGAAGGGUUAGACCAAUCGCAAUUCAUCACCAUCUUGCCCGCUUCCUAUUGAUCACUGGCUAUUAUAUAAGUGUUGACCAUCACUGGCUAUAAUAUAAGUGUUUACCUAAGCCCCUGUGUUGUGGCUCGCGAACCGUAGCUGCCUCGUACGGCUCUUCCGUCGAACUCCCUUCUCUCUUUAUAGAUAUUCUUUUGAUUUACAUGACAAAAAACACUUUGAAAAAAGCCUUCGCCCUCCUCACGGGGCUAUUCGAAAAGCUGCUUCGUUCCUUUACUUCUUUGCUCAGUCAAGCUUACUUGUUCCUUAGUGUAGUCUCUCCAUAGUUGAAGACUCAGUUCCUUAUAGCCGAGUCUAUAUCCACAGCUGACGCAAGCAACUCUGUACCGACGCCUUUCCCUUUGUAGACGGCUAAGUGACUUCGUAACCUGAACGUAUUUUCUUUCUUACUGUUAGCUUCGUCGGGCUUUCGUCGGCUAUAGGCUAGGCUUGGUUUCUAGUAAGCUCAUGACGAGUAAGUGUAGUCGUCGGCCUUCCCACCAGAAUGCCUCCUUCCUGACUUUGAUGAUAAGCCCUUUCCGAUUAUAAAGGACUUGGGGCUGUUAACCUUUGGAAACUUAGUGACUUUAAGUACUAAACGGUAUUCUGUUGUAAAGCUACUUAAUAGAAAUAGUACAACAACUGUCGUACUACUCAAAUCCCAAGCCAAGGAAACACCCUCCCUUCGGUUCCCUUUGUUUGAAUAAACGCCGCCUAUUUGAGUUGACAUUGAUGACAAAGUCCACCAAGCCUAACUGGUCACGACAUGUUGUUGAUAUUGAUUGAGGAGUUUUAUAGACUUUAGCUGACGGAAUCCAUAAACCUAGAAAGUCACCGUCACAGGUACUUUUUGACUCUAUGGGUAGGUUUCGGUGGGGCUUUAUACAGUUCAGAAUCAUAAUACGAAGCAAGAUCUUGAAAGUAUAUCGGGCGACGACAAGGAAUCCCAUAUGGAGUUUUGAAAGGAAAAAGGUGAAGGCUAAAGUAAGGUAAUCUGAAUUCAAUGAUGUUCUUGAAAAAGGGAAUGUUAGAAAGGGUUAACUCGCGACUUGCAUUAUAUGUAUUGCUUGUUUGUUGCUUGUUUGCCUUGUUCUCUAAACAGGAAGAAAAGAAUAUGAGUGCAACACAUGAUAGAAGAUUGAAAGUCAUCUCACUGCUUAUUCACAAACUCCACUUCCUGUUUAAGAUUGGAAUAGAGGAGCCCUUAGGAGCCAGGAGAGUUUUGGCCGACCCUUAAUAAGGCUUAAAGGCUGCGCGCUUUCUGCUCUUAAUUCCGUAUGCAAGGCUAGAGUAAGAUGCUGUUAGGUUACUUAUUUAUUGGAUAUGAAAUGUCCCCUGGUAGGUUCAACCGGCAAACGGGGAUUCAGACACAAAUAUAGAUAUACGACAGUGGUCCCUAUUGCUUAUUGGUUAGGAGUGGGGACUGUUGCUAUUGUCCUAUUGCUAUUGGUUAGGGUGUCGACUAAAUGUUCUAAAUGAUAUGAAUUGUUCCUCAAGCCUUAUAUGUAGUAGUUGUAGUAUAUAUGAGGUAGUGGUUGUAUAUAGUAUAGUAUAUGAGGGUGCGCCCAUAGCUGGGAAGUCAAGAAGCUCGUCUAUAUAUGGGACUAUUGGUAAUCUCAGUAUAUAAGAAAGUAGCUAACAGUCCGCUUAGUAUCGUCUAUAUAUGGGACUAUUGGUAAUCAUAGUAUAUAAGAAGAAUUCUAUAGUGGAUUUCCAAAAUGCAUAACCGGCAAGCGUAUACUUGUAUGCCGCGGGUGCUGACGCUUAUCGGUUAGGGAGUUUAGCAAGGAAACGAAGCUAUGCUAUGGUUGGUUACCUUAAUCAAUAUAGCUGUUGUGCAAGAGAGAGAAAAUCCUUUAAUGUAGACUAUGUGGACUAGAUGAAAUGAUAUUCCAUUCAAAUCUUAGAUGCAAUGUUCACUAUAUUAACAAUCUUCAGGAAUAAGGUAACUUUUCAUUAUAGAUGUAAGCUGCGGCGCAGUAAUCAGUGUUCUCUUACUUCUUUCUAUAAUAGGUGCAUGCACUAUCCAAUAUUCUUUUGCACUAGAUUCUAUUCAACGCCUCCGGGGUGCCUCAAUUCGUGAUUCAAGUAAACUGUGAGGAAGCUGUGAAGAUACUGACUUGUGCUUACGGUGCUAACACGAGUGAAAGUGAAGGGAAGAGAGAGUCUGGCCCCGGCCCCUAGGACCAAAGAAUUCCGCUUGAGAAUAAGGUACUAACUCAUCGGAGUCGGACUUAUGAUUCGCACACGGAUCCUGCGCAGCUAAACCUAUCCUUUUUGCGGUUCCUGUUCGAAAGUUGUCUACGAUAGAAGAUCUUUGAUCACUCAUGCCGUAGUAACUGAUAACGCACUUUGCUUAUGGAGUCGCAGGGCGCUUACGCUAGUUCCAGUUUUCUCCGGGGUUUGUUUCAAUUGAUUGAUACCUUACUUUCGAUUCCACUUUAUGCUACUUUACUUGCAUGAACAAUAAGUCUGGCCAGUGUUCAUUACUAUACUGCACUAGCCCCAGUUUACACUAAGACCCAUAAAGCGAGCGCACAACAGAACAUUUCAUUGCUUUUGUUUCAUGCACAUAAGAGAGAAAUUCUGAAUCUCACUCCUGACUCCUACCUUAAAGUAUCAAUUAUUCCAAGAACGGGGCUUCCUUUAAGUUGAAGUGUUAGAAUGGAUGCACCCAAAGAGAUAUACGCAGCGCAAUAGAUACCUUACUCCGAACUCUAGUAACAAACUUGUUUUCAUUGAAUAGAGCACCUUGACGAAAUACUUAACUAAUCGCGAUAUACUUUACUUCGAGCAGUAGGCUGAGUAGGCCAGUAGAAUUCGAUUGAUUAUGUAACUCCGCAUGCUUACCAGUAGUUUUAACCAGAAGGAAGCAAUGCUCUGUUAGGUGAAACUUCUUCUCGACGCAGGAGAUUCGUGAACAAGCCCAUCGUUGAGCCUAGCAGUAGCGCACAUUUAUUACUCUUUUGGAAACUAUAAUGAGAGCUCGAACUCUGUCAAGGCCCAAUGAUCUGACUUAUGCGGUAGGAAAGCGGAAUGAAUCCCCGAUUCAGAGCAGAAGACCAGACCAAGGAAAGAUCGUAGUGGCAAAGUGCUAAUGCAUUUCAAACUUUCCUGGUGAGAAGAGGGAAUUAGGGCGGCUGUCAAAAGUGGACUGAAGUCGACUAUCGCUUCAAAGAGAAAGAGGUCCCCCGGUAAGAUGAAUCCAAAGCAGAGUGAUUAGAGCUUAGAGUUCACCCUUUCCCAACAGGCAAUUCCCGUUGCGUUGACACGGGCAUUCGAAAAGAGAUGAGCUUAUAUAUACGGUCGAACAUAAAGAGGCUCGUAUUCUUACAUUAUGAUACCUCGAGUGCAAGGGGAAGAGCUUCUGGAAGUUUAGUAAGGGCGUCGCAAAGAUGCUUGAGUUUCUGUAUUUGUUUGAUGCUAUGGUUUUCUCCUUUCGCUAAGCUGUAUUUGUUUGAUGCUAUAGUUUUCUCCUUUCAAUUAAAGUGCGCAGAACUCGCUAAGUAAGUAGGCCUAUGUCGAAAGGCCAUUAUGCCUCUUUCUUCUUUGACUUAUGUGUCUUCAAAUCCAAUAGGUUACAAUGAUUUAUCCCAUCAGUAAGUUAACAGCCGACCGAUCCACCACUGAGCUACAACCAGAACCGAAUCCCUACAAGCAAUAGCUUCUGGAACUUCAAAGAAACUACCCUUUAACAUAAAGUAAGCCAAGCAAAGCACGCAAUAGCCACUUAAGAAGGAAGGACAGAAAGAAUAGGAACAUCCAUAUCCCAAUUCCAUUAGAAAGACUCUAUUAGAAAGACUCUAUGGCAAAAUGUGCUAAAGCGAGUGACUUGUUUGCGCUAACGGGAGUUACGGAACUCACAUUCUAUUAUUUGGCAUGGCACACUCUUCUCUUUCUUUUCUGCUCGAAGUUAAGUAUAUCGCUGCUACCCUACUAUAUUUGCAAGUUCAAGAUAAGGACUAUUGACUGUUUCACUUCCGAUUGAGCUGACAGAUCUUUCGUUUCGUCCUUUUGCUGCAAUUGAAUUCUAUCUUCCAAGUAUCUAAUAGAGAGCAUCCUUUAAGUCAAGACAUAAGCUUGGAAUAUGUAUACACCUAAUGAAAGGUGGGUAAUAGAACGUUAGGUAUGGGGGUCCUAUUCCCUUUCUAGGAGUUCCUUCAUUGCUAGCAUAGUCCAAGCGAAUGAACUUCCCAUCUCAUAUUGAGGAGAUUCUAUACUGCCUGACAUUAGAAGAGUCGUAUGCCUAAGCUUAAAAGCGAAUGAGUGGCGAAAGCUCAAGUUAACCCUUGAUAGUCAGACUAGAAGUCGGUGAGUGGCACUACUGCAGGUAGCUUACGAAGUGCAAUACUUAUUCUUCUCACAAAUAAGAAAUACAUGGAAGUCGAGCAGAUGAUAAAGUGGCUUUGCACUUUUGUGUCUUUUCUUUUUCUUCGGAUGAUAUAAUAGGUAAAUUAUGAGUUUUAUGGGCUCCAACGGUGGCAGCUGCAGAAUCCGCUAUUUGGUUAGCCUCGUUAUAUUACUUUCUGAGUCCGAGGUACUAUAGCAGUAGAAUUGAUUAAUAGCAUUCAAGGUUCAAGAUUACUCCUAUAGAAUUCCCAAUAUACAAUGAUGUUCUCUCUUCUCUACUACUUACUUGUUGAGUGGAGUGCACCACUGCUUGAGGGUAAAGGUUAGGCAGCCCGGAUACGGAACUCGAUCUGAAACUGUGGCAACUUUCAAAGCCUUUACCUGAACUCUGCGGAAGAUCUAUAUGGAUGCAGCUGUAGAUUCCAAGUGGGUCAAAUAAGCUGUUGGGUGACUUUAGUCUUCUCUCAGUGAUACAAGAGCCGGCUAUUAAUCUAUUGCUUUAGGUGCAAAUCUCGACUUACUAUCUUGUUUGCAUUAAUAUAAAUAAACGUAAUAAGGAAAAGCGGAAUCAAUCCUUACUUACAGAAUGAGAACCCCAUUUGUACAAGACCACCCAGAGAAUCAAACUACCGAGUCAGGGCUAAGCAAGCACCUUUCCCAUACUCCACUUACUCAAAUGCUAGAAUAACAAGGAUCCUGUGCUACCUAAUAUAACUGCUUAUGGUUAACUCUACUCUACCUACUUAUCGGGUCUUCAAUGAGAAAUGAGUUAUAAGAUGCAUUAACCGCGCUGUCCUCCUCGGUAAAGCAAGUAAUAAGGUGUCUUGAUUGAGUCUUGUUGUCCCUGGACCUGUCCUGUCUUCAUCAUUUCCUUACUAUUUAGAUUGUUGGCGCAUAGUGAACAUUCAAUUAUGACUUAUUGCACACAACCCCGCUCCUUAGUCUUACUUAGAGUCAACUCAUUCACUUGAAACUGUGACUUCCGGAUAACAGGAUAUCCGCCUCUAAUCUUUCCGGUUCUCUUUAGAGUUCUGUUGCUGGUUCCCCUGUUGGUUUAAUUGAAUCGCAACUGGACUGGACUUUACCACCUUUGGCAAAUUCCUUUAGUACAACCUUACUUGUGUUUCGCAAGUCAACAAGAAGAAUCAGUUUCCUAAUAAGUGUGAAAUGAUUCGAUUAAAGAAAUAUCUGUUAUUUUGGAAAGCUAUGCUAUAGUUGGUUACUGAUCCCUAUAUAAGGGUGCAGUCAAUUCCAGAAAAGGCCUACUAGCCCGUAUGUAUCGUCAAUAAAAGGUCCGUAUCGUCCUAUAGCUCGUAUCGUCCUACAGCUCCCCUACUAUAUUGCAAAUCCAAGUAAAGUAUCAAAAAGUCCAGCUCGACACGACAACUAGGAUAAAGCCAAGUGAGAGGACUGGGCGCUAAAGAACCAAUCACUGAUAUUGCAGAAAGAAAAGACAUUGGCCCUUACCUUAAACCGAAAGAAAUAGACUUAUUACCAAACCACAAAGAUAUGUAUGAAACUGGGGCAAACUUAUCUCGCCGCUCUGAUCUGACCGCUCUGUUGUGGUAGGCUUUACCUUUGCUUGUGUUGACGCCACUGAUGCAUUUGUUCUUGCUCUAACUCGACUCUCCUAUGGAGUGGAAAACAUAGAGGAUCCCGCUAAUGAUACUGUUUCUUAUCUCCUAAUAACGACCCUGGUAUAUAAACAAGUAAAGAAAGACCCAGCCAGCUCCAGUAUAUAAACAAGUAAAGAAAGACCGCUUCUACAGAUCUUAGCUUUAUUGUGGUUAUGCGCCUCGCAACAAAGCCUAUACUUUAUUAUGUCCGAACAAGACCUAGAGCUAUAUAGCACCGACAAGCCAAUCCCUUUUCAACAAGAAGAACUAAGGCUUUCGAACACCCGUAACAAUAACUAAGCCCCUUAUACUCCAACCUGCACUAUAAGGCCGGAAGAGUUGAAAAAGGCGACAAGCAACUAGUGCUUUUUGGGGGGGGUAAACUCCAAUUCUAAGAUUUCUGGAAUAUUCCCUUCUCUAUAGCCUUCCUUAUCCCAUUUGCUUGCCUGUUCUGUGCGUUACUCAAUUCCCUCUUUAGCGCAUUGAAAUAAGUAUCCACUUUGGGGGUGCGAGUUCAGUAUAGUUCAGGGACAGAGGCUCUCUACUUAAGUAUCAGUACCACCGCGCUCAGAAGAGUCAGGGUGUUGAGUUACCUAUGUUUCUAUUCUAUAAGACGAGCAUCAUCAUAUUGGCAGGCGAACCCUAUGCACCUGAUUAAAGGACAGAGACACCGCUAUCCCUAACUUUAUUAACUCACGUUAGCCCUUGCUUCUGCUUUCACUAUAAGAGCAACUGAUUUUAGUGCACAAUUAAUGGAUAAUGGGUAUAACCUAACCUCAAUUAAUAGAUAAGAAAUAGGUCAGACAAAACUUCAUAAUGUAGGUAAUACAACACUUCACUGUCAAAUCCUCCCUCCAUGGAAGGUCGUUUUCAACCUUAAGCUUCAGUUAAUGCUUUAGAAGUUUUCAAGUUUCCAGUUAAAGCUUGGCGAGAAAGAGCCCUAGGGUGGUUGGAAACUCUAUCUAUAUCUUUAGGCUAAUCAUCUGUAAUCCUCGCCUAAUCUUGCUCGCUCCUACUCUCAAUCUAUCGGUGAUUGUCUUUCUCUUUGCUUUGAGUCAGAUUUCCAUUCCAGUUCUUUUAUGUUGCGCUAACGGGAGCUGCGCUCAAUAGAUUUCAUUUUGCAAUUCUACGAUUAUAUGAUGCGUUGAUAGACAGAGAGACUAAGUAUGCGCUAAUAGAAAGAAAGACUAAGUAAUAUGAAUUGAAAUCUGAAUGACUUACUUCAUAGCUCAAAUCUCUUCCUGGUUUCCUAGGUGCUUACAGAGUUCUCAGUCAGAUCUUAUGCUUUUGUUUCUGCGCCCAUAUUUGUUGCUUCAAGCACAAGAAAGAUUACAGUUUGUUUGCAAGAUCAGUUCUUGGCUCUAAGUAAGGAGUAAGCUAAGCAGUUAUAAGUAUAAAGCAGUUGGCGCAGCUACAAGCAUUAUAAGAUAUAGAAAAGGAGUUAAUAAGAAUCAUCAGAUUGAGCUGGGUAGAGUCGUAAUGAUUGAAGAAAAGGAUAGAGCCUCGAGAGUCAAAUUCCAAUUCCAGAGUAGCACGUUAAGAUCCUGAGUUGCGCGUUUAGAAAGAGUGCUUUGUUCAAUUCCUUAGAUUAUAGGUAUAGGCGAUAAAAGAACAAAACUAUACUAUGGCAGUUCCUGUUAGAUUCCAUUCAACAAGGCGAUGCGCAAGACAAGAGAGAGGGUAGCCAAAAACAACUGACUGGACUUCACGACUCGGAAUAGACGACUUCUGGCCCUAAAACGAUUCUUAUUGCCUUCUGCAGCGCGUUGUCCUGAUUGUCCUUCCGUUAUUGUUUCAUCAUAUAAAUCAUAUAGAGAGGUUCGGCGCGGUGCUUGUGUUGUAAGGGGAGAAGAAGCAGUUCAAAAGAUCAGGUCAACAGCAAGUGAAGCUUUCGAAUAGUUCGAAUAGACUGUUUCGAGUUUCAAGAGCGAGAUCGGGAUCUUAAGAAGAAAUGGAUUCUUAAGCCUUGUUUUCUUAAGUUCUUGCGAGUUUUCUUGCAUGUUUAAGAAUAUAUUGCACUGGCAUUGAUUGUAUAGAACCUUGAACCAGGAGAAGGUAGUAGAGGAUAGGACACUCUUUAGCCCAGAUCAUCAGCAGGUGAGGAAGCAUGAGAUAGUACUGGCUUUGAAGCUCUAAGUGGAUAAUUGACUGUUGGGAGUUGAGGCAUUGUCAGAAGCUAGAUCAGCUGCAAUAGAAGAAUCCGUUUUUCGGGUUACCCCACUCCAAUAGCGCAUUAAGAGAAAUCAAAAGUCACAAACACCCUAGGGCUAGUUAUCCUUCUAGCCUACCAUGUGCUCCGUCAGAAUGAAACUAACAGUUACUAUAUUGAAAGUUGUGUACUAAACUAAGAAAAGGAGUUGUAUUGAAAGUAGUCUAUUAAGAAUAGGAGUUGUGUAAGGAAAGGAGAGUUUGGAAGUAACGCAAAAGGGAUGCCAAGUCAAAGUGCAAAUAAAGUCCAGUGAGUCAACAUAUAGUAUAUUUGGGGAAUUCUAAGUCAUUUUCUUCUUUUAUUAAUGUACUUAUUCUUAGUUGUAUUUAUUAACAACACUGCAACAAGCAAUUCUAUCUAAAGAAGAGAAUUGAGUGUUACCCAUAUAGAUUGAAGUAACAACACAGCACAGCUUACUCUAAAUCACCACUAACAAGCAACAGCGCUAAGCAAACAAAGUCCAGCCAGUAUCCGUAAUAAACAAGCAACGACAUUCUAUACUAUAAUAAUAGAGUAAUCUCACUGCAACAAAAGUGCUUACGUGAGUUCGCUAAUAAUAAACUACUCUCAUUUCAGGUCAAUGUACCGUCCGGUGAUCUCUAGGGUCGGGCCAGCCCUGAGUUAGGAGUUUUGCUUUCGUUGUUAAUACUUUGUAAGUUAAGGUCUCGCUCGCUUAAUUGAUGCUUUUCCUGUAUACUAGGUCCAUUGAAGUAGAGAACUCGCAAGGUCAGCGUGAGCUUAUUGGAUUGGAGUUUCUGAAUUAGGUUAGACUCCUAAACUAUAGCAUGUGCUCUAUAGAUUCAAUUCUGACAAGCAAGGGAAUAAGUCGGGGUUAGUAACAUUAACCGGAGUUCGAGCAAAUAUCUCUUUGUAAGUCACCCCUAACGCUAUAAUAAUGGUAAGUGACCCCUACUAACGCUAUAAUAACUCCUAACUAUAGGUUGUGAGCUUUCGAGUUGAACAGCGAGGUUACUUCAAAUAGUGAGUUUCGAAUAUUGUUACCCUACAUUACAUUCUUAGGGGAUUCCAUGAAACAAGCUUGCUCGUUCCGCACACGCGCGUUAGUUAGUAAGAGUUCUUUGAAUAGAAUUGAGUUCACCCUAAACACUAUACACGCUAUAACUAUAGGACAGAGGCAUAUGCACCUAAAUACUCGUUUUACGUCUUUUAGACGCCUGGCUCCUUUCAAGGGUAGAUCGAAAGCAAGGAUAGAAAGUGUAGUAGCUACCCUCAAUUCUCAAAGUGGUUGUGUGUUAAUUAGUUUUGGAAGCAAUGCUUUGUGAAGUGACUUAAGUAUAUCCCAUAAUACAGAUGCUAGGUAAGGUAGAUGAUUUGAAACAAGCAAAUAGAGAGUCUAAUAUCAUACAUAUGCCAGGUAGCAAGUGGGAAGUCGACAAGAGAAUGCCUAGUUCCAAAGUCAGUUGUAAGCGAAGCGGGAAAGAAAUCAGUAUCAAUAAAGUGAUCUAUAAGCUCGUGGAUGAUUUGAAACAAGGUAAAGAGAAAGGCUUUAGUUCAACAAGCAAGGGAACAGCGUAAACAUGUUGUAUAGGUGCAGAAGCAAAACAGUGUUGUUCAUCAUAUUUAUAUAUGUAUAGAUUGCAACAUUCUUUGAAAAGCCUCCCUCCCCUUCCUUGCCUUGUGGGGUAGCUUACUUAUUGUUGCGUUGCGCUAAUGCUUCUUGUUGUUGCGGGAUGCUAACCUUACAACCAUCAUAGGUGUUCUGGCGAGUAGCUGUUCCAGCGACUGGGAAAGCACGGAUAAAGUAAACAAGUUGGUUUUUGCCCUAGAAGCUCGAGUAGGAAGAGAUCAUAAGUUAGGUUUCAACAAGUAUGAAGGUGAACUCUAUACGCAUAUCAAAAGAGAUGUUAACUCUAUACGCUUUGAGUUGGAAAAACUGUCUACACAACAAUAAGAUUACAUCUAAUCCUUCCUUUGAAAAUGGGGUGCUCAUACGCUUGCUUUGAGUUGGAAACUAUCCACAACAAUAAGUCAGAGAUUUUCCUUAGAAUCCUUUGAAAUAGGAUGCUUGCUGACUGGGGGAAAGAGCUUAACGAAAGGGUGUUGAAGCGAACACGCUUGGCAUACAAAGGCAGCUCCUAUAAGGAUUUACUACCUGGUGAGAGAACUACACUACCGCACUGAAAGAGUGUAGCGGCACUGACGCGCUCCACUUUUUCUCUAUUUGAUUGAACGUAUAGAUCUGUUGUGCCGAUGUUGAGUCAACUUCCCUAUUAUGACUUUUACUGCCAGGCAAGCUUGAUUCAAGCCCCCCCACUGGGUGAUUCAUAUUCUAUUGUUUCAUUGUGAUUGGUGCAAACCUGUUUCUCGCUUCACGAUAAGAGCUAUGGUGCCGAUGUUGAUUCCCAUGUUUAUUGUUUCUUUCUUAUCUUAGUGCUCGUUAAGUUAAUUAAUGAUUGUAUUUGGGUAAGCUAAUUCAUUAUUGUAUUAUUAUAUGUAAGUGAAUGAACAAACAAGCAAAUCAAGUAAAAGGUAGAUGAAAGUGUAAGGUAGUGAGAAUGAGUUAAUGGAAAGUCAUACUGACAGGCAGGAAGGGCAAACACUGGCAAGCAACGGGCCAGGCCAAGUAAGGAUCGCUUCGGAGCAUACAAGGAUUCAACCAUAGCACACCAGCGAUGACUUUCAUUCAUGAAACUGUAGCACCGAACUCUGACUUGAACCUUGAUAUUAUGAUUAGUAUUUGUGGAAGGAAUUCUUACUGACUAACUUAGUAGUGAGUUCUUACUAAUGAAAGAGCUAGUUAGGAAUUGCAGAGAAUUGUUUCUUUCUUAGUUACUCCCACAGAGUUCUCCUCUCUAUGCUAUAAGAGAAAACUUAUACGAUUGAUGGGUGUAAUCCGUGCCAACAACCAACUACCACCUAAUAUGCCAACAACCAACUACCACCGCACUAAAGAAUGGCUUCGACACUAAACAUUUAGAUACGCUGACGCUUCUUAGCAUGAAAUUAUGAAAGAGAGAUGUGCCUAAAGGAGAGAUGUUCGCAAUUACUACCACCGACCCCCCAACCAUAUCCUUUAGAAAAAGGGGCCCGGCCCGUAGCUUCGCAAUUGAAUGUCUGCCUUCUUUUCUGAGGCUUCCAAUGGAACUCCCGGUGUUACUUUCCUCUACUUUCUUUCUUUCUUGGAAUCGAAGUUUCCGUCGUAGAAGCUGUGAUUGCCGAUGCAGUGCCAUUAGUGCUUUUGAUUGCGUGUCGCUGGUAUGAAGACGAAGGCGAACGUAAGGGAAUUCACUCCAAGCAGGGUAAGUACAAGGAUAACCUUUCUCAGUUGCGUCGAAAGAGUCUCCGUUGUAUGUUUCAGCCUAUCUGCUCUGCUUUAGCAGUGUGAGCAAUAUACGCUCUUUUUUUUGUAUAAGCUCGUCGGGUUCCUUAUAGAAAGUAACAUACUUCAUGGACGAGUCCGAACUCUCUUUCCCUUUUGCUGGUGUCAGGUGCAUAUGCUUUGAUUGCUUAUAAAUUGAAGCUAUUUCAUGGACGUCGAAUGAAGAUAAGUGGGAUCUCGCUAAAUGGAGUCGACCUCUAUCUUUGCUUUUGUCUGCUUUCAAAGUAAGGCACUAGGAGAAAGACCCCUAAUAGGAUUGAGGUACAAGGCACGUCACGUAAUAAACUGUGAUCUAAGAAGCUGUUUUGAGCAAGUACUUAUUUUGGAAGUAACUGAAACGGACUUUAUCUCCCUGAGGUCCUCGAAGAGAAGAAGGCUUACUCAAGAUAGCAAAUUACAUAUAGGCGGAGAAUGCUAUGGUUCUUGUUCAACCGUUGUAAGACUAGCAAUGGAAUUCCGAACCACUGGUUGCAAACCUCCACUGUUGACUCUUGUUAUAUUGAAAGUAAGUGUUGUCGUAUCCCUCGACCCUAUGCUAUUGUUUGUUUUUCCCUCGAGCAAGUAAAGUCAAACAAUUGACCUCAGACGUAACGAAUGGAAAAAGACUUCAAGAAGAUUGCCUAUCUUGAAACUGCUCAGAAGGAGGACCCUGCCUUUAAGAAAAGAGAGAGAGCCCGCGUUUGACAAAGUUCAGAAAGAGAAACUUCAUCCUCCCAUCCUGGUACCCUGGUCGACCUCUCCUGAUGUAUCUGUAAGUAAUGGAAGCAUCCAUGAGUUGUGUGCUUCGCUACCCUUAAGAGAGAGAGCCUUCUAUCUUUUCUGGACGGACCUUUGUGGUGGAAUGUGAGAGUGAGCGUCCGGGGACCCGAUACCUGCUCUUCGGCGGAGAUCCUGCACUACGAACCUUUGUUCUACCCAGUGGGGUACAUACACACCUAUCGGGCUCAACGGUGAGGUUCGACUCUGGUCUCAUCGGACACCCACUGAAAGGCGGACAUGAAAUAACGAAGCGGGCAUAUCUAUGAGAUGAAGCAUACCCGAAUACAAGGCGGGACACACUCUAUUAAGUAAUAGUUUGGUAAACUCGGAACAUUGUAUGGAAACACUCUCUGUCAGAGACUUCAUCGAGGCUUUAUUAAACAAACCCCUAAACAAUACCCACCUUAAAUAAGGAGUAUUGCAUUGCUUUCAUCUGUGCAUUCAUUCUCUUUGGAUUCCCCGCCUUCCUGACUGAAAGACUUGCCUUAUUUUGCAUGGCUGCCUGCCAUCGCUUUGGCUUUGCUUAUCAACUUGAAACGAACCAGUCUCAUGACUAAGCUUAUCAACUUGAAACGAACCAGUCUCAUGACUAACGGAAGACCUCUGUUCUUGGUCCAGUCACUGCUAUCUUUAAUAAACCUACCGGACCUUCUUUUCCCGAUCGUUAAUCAUUCCUUCUGACUAUUCUGCCCACCCUACUAGCCUUUGUAACUACCCGUGGUCGUGUUAGUGGUCGCGGGGACUCCAUCCGUGGUGGUUGUGCUAUUCGUGGUUACUUUGGACGACUUCCAGAAUUCUUGACUUCUAGGCCCUACCCCGUCAUCCGACUUUGAUGGACCAAGCUAAAUUGGGGAGCAGUUAGGCCAUUCUGCUGUCUUCGUUACGAGUCCCAAACUGUUGACGACCAAGAGUGUAGCUGGCAUGCGGAUUACUCUGUCAUAUGAUUGAAACAGGUAUCCUGACCACUUACUAAUCAUAUUACUGGUGAUGCUCGUUCUAUGACUCAGAAGGAUGAAUAUGUUGGCAAUGAUCCUUUUAUGGGAAGGGAAUCGCUAAGACCAAUCAUUCCCUAGUCUAGCCGAGAUCCUAUUGCUAGCUGGGAUAUUCUAUUAUGGAAAUAUGGGAAUCAGAGGUCAUAUCGUAUAAGUAUAGUAAACAAUAAUUCCUUUAGUUCCAUUCGUUCGCUUUAAAGCACGAGCUGCGACAAAGAGAUCGAUUUUCUCUCUUGUACUAAUCGCCAAUCUCCAUUCAACUACCAGCAAUUAGAUCCAGUACUUCCAUUCCUUACGUGAACGGCCGCUUUCUUGGAACUCAUUCAUAGGCGCUUUAGUUCGACUUCUAACACUCGACUUCUAACACUCGAUUUAUUAUUAUUAUAGAUAAGAAACACUAGAUUUUGGAUUAUUAUAGAUAAGAAAUAUAACAAGCGUGCGAUACAAAGCAUCAACCUAAGGAAAAACCAAUUGAUUGACUAUUGAGUGCAACCCCGUAACUAGAUAGACUAUGGGUAGUUCAGGUGCUAGGAAAGUCUUAUAUCUCAUAUAUGGGUAGUUCAGGUGCUAGGAAAGUCAUAUAUCUCAUAUAAUAUAACGCAUGCCGAUGUUGCCACCGACAAACAACUUAUACAGUGAAAAGCUCCAAAUAGGCACACAGUCGAAGUUGGAAUCAAAUAGUAUACAAGCCCGCCCCUGAGAGCUAAGUUGGAAGAAUCCAUGUUUCCGUAUCCGAUGAUGCUAGCGCAAUAAGAAGAAUGGGUCAAGUGGGAAUUUCCUCGUUUCUGUUUCCGAAGUGGCGCCUUGUUUGAGGGUUGAGCACCUUCGAAGUAGAAGCACCUCCUUCCGACGCUAAGCUACAAAGGCACUCGAAGAAAGAAGUCGUGCAACCAACCUGCAUUCCCAUAGGGCUAUAGUUGUCAGCCACCUCUUACGCCUAUUCCCCCUAACGUGUCAACUCGUUGGGUGCUCUCCCGGUAGGACUCUGUUGCUGGUCUUUACGUUGGCUGAUUCAAAAAGGCAUCCUAGUAGCAGCUUGAAUUUAGUCAAAAACGAAUCACUAGCUUGCUCGCUCUAUCUUGCUUGAGAAAAGCCCGCAGCCCUUGCUUGCUCUUCUAGUCUACAUAGAGGGAUAGGUGCAAACUAGGGAAAGUCGUUUAGGUUCUUCUUGUAUUUCCCACUACUUUGUUAUUCCUUCAGCCUGAAUGAUCCGCCGGGUCUACGCGCUCUUUCUUUCUAUCGGACAGAGGGAAUGUCAUAAGGUUCUCACUGGUCGGAGAUUGGAGACAGGAUUGCCGAGAGAUGGAGGAGGUCUUCUAAAGAACAAGCACAGUCAGGUUAGAAGGAAUGCUUGAAAGCGGCUCAACUCCUAGUAGUCAAAAAGGAUAAGAUGACAAAAGGAAAGCAAAGCGAACCUCUGAUAUCGAUUGAUGAAAAAGAAUUGAUUGAGAAAGGAGCGCUAACGCCUACCUAUUAACGCCCGCACGGGCUUUCAUUACACCCAUGCCACCUAGGCGAGGCCUCAAUUGAAUAAAUCGUGAGUCAAAUGUGAUUUUACUUGACUUUCUUCUAUUCUAUAUAUUUGACUUGACUUUCUUCUAUUCUAUAUGUGUGCUAGAUUCUGUAGUUGAUCCAAAUUACUCCCUUCCUCUUUCUUAUACGGAACUGCCUAAACCUGCCCUCUCUUGUGAUCGUUAUAUUCUUAUUUCGUUCCUGUGCCUAUAAGACUUAUUAUUCUAUGAUUCUUAGAUUCUCGAGAUAGAUAUUAAUCUGACUUACCUUUACUCUCACUCGUGAUCUCAUUCUUUUCUUCGGGCUUAGAGGUGGUGGGCCUUCUCGGAGAUCCUUCCUGUUUAAGUACAGACCUUUGCCAAUAACUUCACUUUCAUCUCCUUAAGCUCACAACGAAGAGUUCCAUUCGAACAUUGUCUUUAUUAGAAGUUCGACUUCACUUCCAUCACCUGCGAGAGAGCGUUCUAACUAACUUGUUCCGGUAUUCAUAGUUCUAAUAGCUAGCGCUUCCUUACUUUUGCACUUCCAGAUAUGAAUAUGAAACGGAUUCCUACUUCGCCUGCUGCCAACUGCUUUCCUACUUGAAUCAAACUCGGGAGAUUCGAAGGUGCUGUAAGCGAUUAGAAUCAAGCUUAUUCAAAACAUGAAAUUGACUUAUACUAAGAAACUCGAACAAGAGUGAGAAAAUGCGUUUCGUAGCUGAUCACUUAGCCUUAUAUUCCUUAUUGUUCAUUCACUGCCUGAAACUACGAACAAGGAAAGGAGAACUACGGACAGGACUGCUCGAGGUAAAGAGACUGCCUUACUGGAUUGGCUCACCGGCGAGAUUCCUUAUCUAAGUAACUGGCUUUCUUCCUAAACGACUUAUGAGACUAGCAAGGCUUCGCUGUCCGCCCCUACUUCAUCUGUGCUUUGAACAUUGAUUUGACCUCCGCGUCCCUUACUUGACCAAGUAUGCCCCUCUUCCUUCGUCCCUGACCUUUAGCAACUAGAUUGAUCGUGAGAAAAGAAGUGGACUAGCUCACGUGGUACUAGAUAGGUAGUUUACUUCCAGCUGCUUUCAAGACAGGCCCCAACAUAUCACUGACUGGAAUGGUUCGCUACUUACUUCCUUCAGUGAGCACUUACCGAUCACUCUAUUGGAACUUCUUAGGAUUCCGCCACUGAACUAUAAUCCCGUGCGAAGUAGUGAAAUAUACUCUCUCUUUACCUUCCCCAUCUGACCCAUUCCUCCUUAUGCUCCAUCCCCUAAUUAUGAGUAUACUUGUGGUGCAAUUGCUAAUCAGUGGCUUCCAAUAAAACCAUAUAAUUGAGCCUGCCCAUCGCCAGAAAUUGAGCCUAGCUUGAGAACCCUACCUCGUUAGCCGAAUUCUAUCUUAGAGGAGAGCGAAAGUUCUCUCUUGAGCGGGGCUGGCUCUCUUUAUAGUCGCCCUUCCUUUCCCUUAUUCAGAUUCUGCUUGAAACACGUAGUUCUGUCUUCGCUGCUUUUCUAAGAAGUGCCCUUCCUAUCAAUAGAAACGUUCUCUAUCUUAUAGUCGAUCGUCUGAAAAGCCACUGACUUCCAUAUCGUUGAGAUCAGGCCUACGAGAAGUCUUAGUAUUCCGAACCUUCGGCUGCGCUUAGGACAGCUUUGUGAGAGAAAAGGUCGGGCGAUAAAGCGCUAUCAACGGCUUGAGGAGAAGCGGACUCGAUCAAGUUGAGUACUGCCUUCCACAACUCCUCCAUAGAUAGACAAUCAAUCAAUACAAAUUAUAAGAAAUCGAAUGAGCACAGUGGAAUUAUCCUUUUCUUUCGGAUAGUCAAAAGAACCAAAAAGAAGGUCACCUGCGGGAGAAUCAAAUGCAAGUUGAUGAGAUUCAGACCUAAGAUUCAGAAGAUGGUGAAACAUACUUAUUAGAGAGCCGCUUUCGCCUCGGAGCUCAAGCCUUAAAGAGAGAGAUGCCAUUCUUGCCCAGGUAAAGCCUUACUGACUGACUGCUAUCAUAUAACUAUACAACAUUUAGACUAGACUGAGGAACUGUGCUCCUACCUGCUAAAGCCGCUUCAUGCUAGGCGUCCAGACCGCCCGAGUUGCCUCGCCGGAACACUAACUAUUUCCACUAUUGCUUCAGUCCAUCACUUCCCACUAGAAAGUCAAAUACCAGAUGAAACCCAAAGAGCCAAGUAACUACUAAUGACCAAGCUUAGGGACAAGCAACAGUGCGUACUAGAGCAAGAAAUAAGGAUAAGCCCAAAGGUGAGUCAAGCAAGAAAUAAGGAUAAGGUGGGUAGGGAGCGAAGUCCGACUCUAAGGGCAUUAGUUACAGAAUCAAAACUUGGAGGGUAAGACCAAAACUCCAUGAAAGGUAUGUUGGGCAAUAGCUUGAGUUUGAAAGCAAGGGAUCCAAAUCAGCUGUUAAGGAAAGGUAGCCGGGAAAAGUGAACUAAUUGAAAGUCAGAGCUGGCUGGGUUCCUAGUAAAAGUAUGAGUAUCGUCGGUUCUAUUCUUGUUAGCAACAGUUCUAACCUGGGGGUAGCGGAUUCCAUUCUAUUAAGUGGUGGGUUCAUUCUCGCUAUGGGUAGUUCGAGUUCGGUUAGCGCUACUUUUAGAAGCUACCCAAGUCAUGAAGUUUUAUUGAAAUUGUAGUUAAGCCCUGUAUGCCUUAAUUCGAUCCCCGGUAUAAAUAGUGUAAUUACCUGCUCGAAGCUAUAGCCCUGUUAGCGGUAGUUAAGGUCUGAUCGGUGCCAGUCCCAUUCUGUUUUUUAGUCAGAGGAGUAAUAAGAGGAAACCGGUACUUCACACCCAAACUACUGAUCUCAAUGAAAAGAGAAUAACGAUUGUAAGUUCCACUCUUUGACUUACCUAUUUCAUUCUUUCUGGUAGUAGUUCUACUCUAAUACCUAUAUACUUCUCGGUUUGAUUUCCACUUUCCAGUAUUAGUACCGAUCCCAUGAGAGACCAGUAGGCCAAUUAAGAGUUGUGAUUCCCCCAUAGAGCGAGGUUGUUUCCUAUGUUCCAGAUUGAUUCUUUGUACAACUUCGGAGUGAGUCGAUCCCUCUGAUCCGAUGUCCAUUCUUAGACUAUCUGCUGAUGUGUCCAUUCUCCCUAGUUAAUUAAGGUGCCUAUUCCUAUACUACUAAUGGGAAUUGUCAUUGUUUAUUUGUACUAUGGGCAAAACACACGGCCGCUCAAAGACAGAAGAGGUUAUAACAAGUACAAAGAAAGCGGAUUAUGUGUUUUUGUCUUAUAGUUAGUAAAAGCAGGAGAAAAACGGGGGGUUUCGGUUUUCAAGCAAAGCUCUAAGGCAUUAGUGAAAGGCUCAUAGGCAGUGAAGGCAGGCUUGAAGCAAGGGGAGGUAGGUCGAUCAGCAGUCAAGUAAGAUGAAUUAAUGUUCCCCCCGGAAAGCGAGACUAAUAGGCAGUGGAACGGGGCUUGAAGUAAAGCGAGUAAGGUUUCAAGCAAGGACAGUAAGCCUCUUCUCUUGGGGACAGUUCCCAGUUAGAGUCAGAAUACAGAGAAUCACACCGGGGAAGGACAGACUGUAAGGCAAGAGUAGCGGAGUCGAACUCCAGUAUAGUAAUAAGGGAUGUAUUGGAUAGGAGGGGCAAGGUCAGCAGUUAGAAUAGAAAUAGGUAAUCGAAUUGCUUCUAUAGUUAGAGCAGAGCCAGUAUCCAGUGGUAGUCCUGUUCGAGUGAGAUAAGUAGAACAAUGAAACAAAUACUAAUGAAAACCGAGUAGUCAACAAUUCUGAAUUGAAUCUUUCUUGUCUGCUUUAAAGACUAAGCGGAAGGGAUCAAUAGCAUAAUUCUGGUAUUGGUGCCGAGAUCGGGAUAUCCUCAGUAGGUAAAGAAGAGAAAUAUGAUUCCCAAGCAGUAGGAGCAGCGCCUAUAGUGUUCCUGGCUACAAUACCUUAAUUCGGUUCAUCUAACUUCAUUCUGACUUGCUUCAUUAAGACCCCUCUUUCAACUAUACCACCUCUUCUCUUGUUCCUCUCCUUAAAGGCAUGCUUAGCCGGGUAUUUAGUUUGUAGUAAUUGCUUGGUGGAAUGAGUAAUCAAUACACCGAAAGGGAAUCGGAAUGGAAGAAAACUUUACUGGAAACCGGAACUCGGGAACUCAACCACAAGAAUCAAAGAAAAGAAAGAAAGUGGUGAGCCAAGCCAGAGUUCAAAGAGCCAGAGAGGGAUAUUCAGAGUCGAAGUAAGAAGCCGGGUGCUCAACUGACCGAGUUUAGUCUUAAGUGGACAAGCGAGUGUUGGUGCUCUAGCUCUAAGUCUGAAAGUGGAGUUCCGUGGUUGGUGACUUCUUGUACACAAGGUUGGUGACUUCUGGUAGUACUGGGUUAGUGACUUAGUAUUGUCUAGUAUACGCUUGGCGCUAUGUGUUUGUGAGCCAGAGGAUAGAGAGUCAAGGGAAGCUAUUAGUUGAUUUAUAAAGAAGAGAGUUGACUAAGUAGAGGCCAGGCCAGGUCCGUUGCUUGGCCGUUAGGGGAAUUUCUCCUUUUUGUCCAGUAGUAGCUUGGCCCGAGCACAAGAAGAUGAAGUAGUAGCGUCAGUGAGUUGGCAAUCUUCAUGACUAAAGGAUUUUCCUGCUCCGCGCUCAACUCCUUAUUUAUAGGAAAAAAGAUAGAGAUGAAAUUGAUGAACUUCAAGAAGAGGUCGAAGAAGAACCAAAUCCAAAAGUAGGCUGUUAGAGCGGAUCCAGUAGUUAUAGGUGAGUGAAGUUGUACAAAGGGUUACUCUCGGGGUGCAUUAGGAAGGAGUUAUUUGAGUUGUGCUAAGGGUUACUCUCAGGGAACAGGCAAGGGUAGCAAAUAUAGUAUAAGUUCAGGGCGAAAGUAGGGGUAGGGUUAUGGUAGGUAAGAAUCAAUUCCAAUUGACGUCGGUCGUGGAUAGAGAGGUGUGUCUUCCGCGCUAAGUGUGUUCGUUACUGCCGCAAUUGACUUCAGGGCUGGAACUGGCACCACUACAAGGGAAAGCCUUAUUGUCUUUUUCUAGUGGAACUGUUUGGGUGCGAGUAGAAAGGAUAAGUCAAGAGCAAGCAGGAGUAGCGUAAAGAUUAGAUAGAGCCGGCAGUCAUGGCAAGAGAACCUGUCCGGUAAGAACGAGUCCUGUUUUCUUUAAGAGAAAGAGGCUAUGCUUAGUUACAGAUCUUUGAGAGAAAGAGGCUAUGGUUAGUUACAGAAGAGAUAGAAGCUAUGGUUAGUUACAGAAGAGAUAGAAGCUAUGGCUAGUUACAGAUUCCAUCAUCCCUAGCGAAAUCUUUCUCUUUAGACCUCUUAAGGGCAAUUCCACCAACUUUCCUACUUUGUAGUUGAGUUCGUAGCUGACUAGGAGUUCAAUCAAGUAAGCUGCAAGCAGGGGCUAGUUCCACAAAAAGAAAAACAGCAUAAUUUCUUUCUUAUUUGUUAUUUCCGAGUGUUGUUUUCGCCCGCCAAGCUGCUUGUAUAUAAGGGUUUGUCUAGUAGUAGCUUGGCCCCAGGCAUCUAAUAUUCAUUUACUGCCCAGCAGGCUUAGGCUACUUACUUGCUAUUCGCUCUGGCACUGCCGAUCUCAAAACUCCUUAGCCUUAGCUCUUGUUUGAGUAUGCUACUUCUUCCCGAAAGUCUAUUUGGUUAUUUGCGUUAAGUGACUUAGGGUAAUGAACCAUUGAACAAAGAAUUGAGUUAGUAAUAACAAGAGCGGAAGGACGUUUUUCACAUAGAAGAGAAAAUGAUGUGAAAUGAGAAGAUGUUAGUUGGUUGUUUCGAGCUAGUUACCGCUGACAUAAAAGAAAGGUAUAUGCAUAACACAUGCAAGUAGGACAGGGAGUCUAAUUCAAGCAAGAAAAGUGUAUGGUGCUACAAUAAAGCUUGUCUUUCCGUACAAUGGAUGUCACUGGCACUUUUCAAGGUCGAGUCAGAAGCCCUUUUCGAAUGCCUCUUUUUGUGCUCUUUCUUGAAUACAUGGAAUUCGAUGCUUGACUUCUUUCACUAGGGGACCUCUUACAAAGAAACGUCAGCCAGCGUGGAAGCCCCCAAUACUUGAAAACUACGCAUCCACUGACACUAGGAUCGUCAAAAGUGAAGAAAGCUUCUUUUCCUGCUGGUCAAAGUUAGGAGCUGCAGAAUGACUUAUUGCUUCCUGUUCAUGUGCAUAUAGAAGGAUCCUUGUGUGCUGGUAUCAACCGAGAAAGAAACGAUGACUCGAAACCUUAAGCGAGCUCUUCUCAGACAACUGUCGAACUUUUGCCUUUUAUCGCUGCAAGUAAAGUUCUGCGCUAAACCAAAUGAAGACAUCUGUGCCAUGAUCAAGAACAACAUACAUGAGAAAAAGCUUCACCGAUUGCUCCUAAGAUUGCUAAUGAUUAUUCUUUUUUUCACAAGGCAACAAUCUUUAUGCCAGCGUUCCUAGCCUUGAAUCCGCGGAAACAACCUGCGCUUUGGAUCCGUUUACCUGAGCUCCCUAUUUAGUACUUCGACAGUUCUCCAAAUAUGGGGACCUUCGAUACUUAGUUAUGAUGAAGAUUAAGUCGCAGACCAUAAGAUAAGAUAAGGGGAUGAAAGGAAGUAGAAAGACCAUAAGAUCAGGAAAGGAAAUUAGAGAAUGGAAUUGACCACGAAAAAGGGCUAAGUCAUCACUAAAAAGGAUUACUUGGUUGCAGAUGCCAUAGAACGGGUUGAAGCUAAGAUGUUUGGCUCCAAAGAAAGUGCACCGAUCACACGAAAACGUACUGAUUGUCCGAAAGCUUUUAGGCAAAGACAUCUAGAUACAGGACUUGCUCAUAACUUCGUUAUUCGUUGCUGCCGCGCAACGUGAGUAGUUGCUUGGCCUGAUCAUCCGAAAUAUCGGUUCACUUUUGGGAAGGUUCCCGAAUUGACUAGCGGCUCUGCCGCGACACAUUAGUAGUGUCUUGGCGGGUCUAGUGCUUGUGUUAAGCAAGUAGUAAAUCUAUCUCCUCCGUAGUCUUUUCCCCUCCUAAAUGAUAUAUUAUCUUUCUAUAGGAUGACUGAAUGGGCUUGGCUGUUGCAAGAGGAGAGGUAUUGUACUACUGCACCGGGUUGGUGUCAAAGAGACUUUUGAGUGGAAUUCUGUAUUUGUUUAGGUCGGGUCGGGGUCAGAAAGAAGAAUGUGUUUACUUACUUGUUUCAUGAAGUGACUAGGCUAGAGGUUAGGGUAUUGUAAUCCAAGAAAUGAUCAAAACCAUCAAAGAAGUCGCUAUGGAAAUGCCCCUUUUUCUCGAUUUUCGCUAUAAUUCCUUACCUUAGUGAGGCUAUCAUUCCUUAGUGAGAAAACUCAGAACUAAAUAUAAGAUAAUGAACCUAACAACAUUCCUUUACGAGUAAGAGAAACUUGUCUUGAUUAUGGAAGGAGAUGAAAAACCACUUCUCUUUCUCCUAGACCAACUCUGUACUAGUGAAGUAUAAGAAAAACCCAUAGAAAUUCCAUAUUAUUAUAUAUAGGAUAAGGAAACCUCGACUCGCACACAGGACAAAGAUCUUCAAGCUGACAAGCAACCACUCGUUCUAUGGUUUACAGCCCCACCAAACAAGUAUACGAGUAGUCCGAUCCGACCCUGUGGAGCUUCUGUUUGGACUGGUUUCAUUUGGGAUAACAGCAGCAGGACACAAUAAGGCUUAACCUUGUAGAAAAGAAAAGAAAUGGCUUUGAUCAAAUUGAUUCAUCCCAUUCGAUUCUUAUUGUCUGCCUCUCUCUACUUCGAUUCUUAUUGUCUGCCUCUCUCGACUCUGGCUCUCAUCUCAUCCAACUGAAUUCUAACUUGCUCCUCUGGCUCAUCUAAAACUACUGAGUUAAAGUCAAGAGAAGAGGGAAUCUUUGUUUGCAACGAGAGAAUCCUCCGCUGGAUAAGGUACUGGUGCGCGAGCUGUGUAAAUAAAGUGACUUUCCGGGCUGUCUAAGUAGCAGCUGUUGUGCUUUACUUUGAUCCUACUAUCUUGGAUCCUACUAUUAAGUCAGAAGAAAAAGCAGAAUGAAGUCAGAAGAAAAAGCAGAAUAAGCCGAAGAAGGAUCUGUUCUUAUUGAAGCUGUUUCAUCGAGAUCAGAAGCCAGAGCAGGCGAUUAAGAAAGUGUUGUUUAAGUGCUCGCCAAAUAACUACACAUGACCAGAGUCAUGAGCUGGAACAAGAAAAGGAGCAGCACUUGUUCGAGUGGAAUCCCCAGUAGCAUCUGUGUUUGUUGGUGACUCUAAAGAAGGUGUGAAAGCCAGGCAAGCAGACAAGAGUGACUUCUAACUCGAACUGGACUACUACUACUGGGACUACUACAAGUUUCAGGGUCAACUGUAUAAGAUGCAACUUUACUACUACUUGGAUGACUACUUUAAUAAGGGUAAACUAGGGCAGCUAGUCAAUUGAAGUAAGUAAACUUCCCUCGCCUAGGAAUAGAAUUCCACCACUUUCCCUGUGUUUGGGCAAACUUACAAUAAGGGCCUAAACUCUCAAGUCCGAAGCUCCUGGUAGAGCCAAGCCAAGCCUACCCGAACCGAGCUCUAGUGUGUUAGCCUACCUCGACUCUUGAGUUUUAGCACCCGACUAGAGCCUUGCAUGGGAAUGACACAAGCCUACCCUACCUGAGUAACAUAAUCAACAGUAUCCGGAUUAGAAUCAAGAUCCGAAGAAGAAAGUCAAGAAGCUGGAUCCGAGAAGAAAGUCAAAAGAAAGUAGGCAAGCUACGUUUACUACUCCGGUAUUCCACUAAUUCCAUUCUUAAGCUGAGGCUGCCAAUGAGGUAUAUGAGCCAUAACUUGAUUAGUUUACAUAGUGAUAUGAGCAAGAUCAGAGGGAUAGGUUCAAGAGCAGAGUUGACUUACCGGUCGCCCAGCAACUAACUACUAGUGACAUCCCGAACUUAGAGCUACAGCACCACGGAAUUGAUCUCUCUUACCUAGCGAAUUACUAUAAGGGCCUAAACUCAUAAGUGAGAAUGGAAUUGCACCUAUGGAGCACCCGAGCUCGACUUUCAGAAUAGAAAUAGGACAGGGGAAGAGCACCCUGCUUGGCACUGCUUCCAUUCCUUUCCUACUUUCCAGUUGGAUUCCUUUAUUGACUAGUUCAAUUAUGACUUGCUGACAUUCUUACCUUCAACUAAGCCUCUCCUAUGGUUCAUAACUACUCUACAACUUGCUCCUCUCUGCUAACAGAAUUUGGGAUACCUCGCUUCUUAUCCAGCUCUAUCUGUACUGUAGGAGAGAGAUUUGCUGUUUCAUCAAUUAUCUUUCUCAUUUAUAAAUGAAUUAUUAGAUUAUUAAGGAUAAAGAACUGAAAGAGACUUGACUUUAGUACACCUCGCAUCAAAAGAAUCAUAAGGGAGCGGGAAAGCUAUCAAUCAGACUAAGCCAAAGCACUACCCUUAACUACAAACAUGGGUGAUACUAGAUACUCUCCCAUACCGCAACACCUCUGCUCUUGUUAUCUUUCUCAUAUAAGAUAGAAUGAAAGACCUUACGAGCAACCACAUCCUCGGAUUAUGACCUUGCAGUAACAUUAUUACUUAAGAGUAGAGAGCGCAGGGUUGGUUCCCUAUUCUAUCUCUUCCUAAGGAUUUGAAACAGGAGCAGGGUAUGCCUAUGUUCUUAGGCUCAAAUUCACUAGAACACAACUUCUUAUGUUUUAUGGGAAAUAUGACAUGGAAUACCUCCUUAGGGACCUAUCAAUUCAUUUCUGCCUAUAAUCUUUAGGGUCGAAGAAAGGGUUUCUACCGGCUUUGAGGCUAGGGAGAUAUUAUCUAUGGAAUAACUCAAUUCUAAUGUAUUUAUGGGCGAGUCUUGCCUUUGUCGCCGGAGGUCUCUCAUAGAUAUUAUAAGUCACUCACCCACCUAGUGAUCCUUCUUAAAGGUAAGAGAAAAUCCACUCCUUCUCGCCUACCUAGUGAGGACUCGUUUAUAACUUUUCUUUAUGCCAUCUAUGUUGUUGCUGACUCCACUAAUACUGAAUUUCUUAUUGAUGAGCGCAUAUGGUAAGACUGUCCGAAGAAGUAAGCUUAUGCUACACGGCUUACAGAACUCCCUUAGGCCACUGAGUCUUGCCCGAACUCUACUUUAAGUUCAUAUCCGGAUCAAGCCUCUUAUCAAGCUUCUGCUUAAGGACUUAGCGCUUCAACUGAUGAGGGCUUACAUCUACGAGAAAACAAUAACUUCUGAUUCUGUUGGAUCUUAAAGCUACCUAUCCCCUAUCCUUGGUUACACAAAUCUAUUAUAUGUCGGUGGGGCGGGUACCAAGAAUUCUUCCAUUUCUCCUGAUCCCAACGGACAAAGGAUUUCUCUGAAGUAAGAAUUCCACUACACUCAUAAGUCAAAGGCCAAGCUUAGGGAUGAGCUACUACGUAGCGAAUGCUGAGUAAGACGUUGGGCGGCAGCAACUCCUGUUUUUUGGAGCUUCAACUGUGUUCGGGAACCACUACCUAUAAUAAUCGAUCUGGGAAUAAAUAAAUGCACUAGGGAAAGUAAGACAACAAUCAUCAAACCAUAAUUGACUGUCAGUAAUAUAAGAAUAGGAAUAUGGGUAUGGUCUAGCGCAUGUGGAAUAUAAAUAGAAUAACAAUAAUAGAGCAACUCGACAAGCAACGGAUACUAUUAGAUAACAACAACAACUAUUAUAAUAGAACUAAGCUGUCCAAGCCCUAUUGUAUGCCCUAGCAGACCAAGCCCCUUAUAUCUAUUAUCAUAUUUCUCUUAUCACCUCGCUCCUUAGCUUCAUCCCUAUUGCCCCUUGUCCCGCUCUUACGCUCUUUGCUUUAAACCUAGAACCGCAGCUGAGAAUACUUUCACUACUCAGUGGAGUUAUGUAUUAUCAUAUGGAAACACACAUCUAAAUAUAAGUUCAAAGAAUAAGGCAUCUCAUAAUCAAAUAUAGAAUUCAAGCCAGGGUUUUAAGGAUUGGAUAAAAGGUAGUAGCCCUGAGAUACAGGAAAGACAUACUCUUUGGAGGGUUCUCCGGCAUAUUAGUUAAAGGAUCCGUAUCAGUAACUAUAGAAUGAGAUAAAGCAGUAUAAGUUUAGGAGAACGCAAGGGUAUCAAGUAGAUAAGUCAGAAGUCAAGCCAGUAAUGUCAGUUUUAUGCAAAAGAAUAGGGAUGCCAGGGACAACUAACAGAAUAGAAGCAAACCCGGACUGGAACUAGAGAAUAAAGGUGGGGAGAGAUAACCUUGGGUUCAGUCUGCCCAGCACCGGGUUAAGGAUGUGACUCACCCGUUCCAUUCUUAUUGUCUGCCGACCUAAACUAUUGCUCUGUACUCUUCUCGACUACUUACUUUAAUAACCACUGAAUCACUAUCAGAAACAUCAACCCAGAACUAGAACUUCACUUUAUGAACUGACAACCCUAACUACUUUCCUAGACUAAACUAGCUAGCUCCCCCACGGAAUAGACCUCCCUCGCCUCUCCUCGACACUGUAGUCCUCUCGACUUCCUCUUUUGUAUUCCUCUCGACUUCCUCUGUGAACUCCGGCUCCUCUCUUUCUUACUUAACAGCUUCCCGAAACAAGAACACCUAGAGCUACCUUACCUGGCAAACUGGAAUUACAGAAUUGAGGUAUGCUUACUGACUCAUACUAACUGACCUAGCCCAGUAACUCACUGCGGGCAAGGCUUAAUAAGUAGGGGCUUGAACCACUACAAAUAAUAAUUCAACUCAAAACUAGGAAUAAGGAAAGUAGGAAUGAAACCACUAAUACAAAGAAUGAAACUAGCUGAGGGCAACUAUCCCUCUACUCUGGCUCCAUUAAUGACAGUAUUCUCCUAGCCUGGCCUAUCCUCACCGUACUUUCUCACUGGAGCUGGACUCUCCUUCUUACUUAACUACUUCCUUUUCUUUACUUAACAGCUUCCCACAAAAGUGAUUGCUCUUGACUACUCGUAUACAUGUUUGGUAUUCCACUCACCAACUAAAGGCUCCGCCGACUUACUAUAAGGGCAACUAAUACAGAUGCAAAUGGACAACUACUUGUUGGAACAGUCAACCCGGAUUCUGUUGAGAAAGCUGCCUCACCGGAUCCUGAAUUAAAGUAAAGGGUAAUUACUGGAGUGCGCUAGAUCAUACCAGCUGGCAUGUUUGUGAAGAGGAUAGUUAAUGCUUCAGAGUCCCUAUUUAUAGUGGUAGUCCGGGUGUAGCAAUGAAAGGUAUUGCUCGAGUAAAGUCUAGUUCUGGGAAAUCCAAUUAACUGAGUUGACUUAGAUGCGGGAGUUGCCUUAGAUGCCCUGUUGCUAAGGUCAGAAGUGAUAUUAAUACCGGUUGAUAAUGUUGCUGAUGGGGAUCUGUCUUCUGUAGUCUUCUGGGAAAUACAAUUGAAACAAGCUGCUGGCUACUAUUAAAAGAAUUAGGCUCGCAGGGCAGCUAGUGUUCUUCCUGGCAACUUCACUGGUUCCCUUUCCACUCUAGAGAAUGGAAUGGCUCCUCUCACUCUGAACUCCGGACUCUGGUAUUGGUAUUAUAACUAAUGAAACUCCAAAGUCGGGAAGUGAGAAUGAAACCAGUAAAUCAAAGAAUAUCAUGCCUAUUACUUGAAACCAGACAGUUUGAUCAUAGCUUCACACAAGGGUUAUACUAGAUACUCUCCCAUACCUAUACACCUCGAUCUCUUACCUCUGUCACUCAUACAGAUGAAAAUGGACUACUAUACUUAAAGGGGCAAGAACUUGAAUAGCUUCCCUUGAGACCUCGACUCUGGCUCAUCUACCUAUGGCUAAAAUACUUCUUGAAACAAGCUAAGCUGCUGUCAACUAAUAAAAGAAUUAGGCUCCUCUACUAUAUAUUACCUAUGGCUCCUACUAGUUUAAGGGUCAACUGGGCAUUUCAUUAAGGGCACAGGACAUUCUACCGUUAUAAGUAAGGGCAACAGGAACUGGCUAUUCUCCAGCAUACUGGAAAACUCCCCUUUCUGAUUACCUGGACAAGCAGACUCGCUACCACUGCACUACACCUCUGAUUCCACUGGACCACUACUUGUGUUGAACCGACAACAAAGACAGAUUCAAAAAGCAAGUAAGUCAACUACCCGAGCCUCAAAGCCGAUACCUGAUCUAUAUCCUUUCUCAUCUCCUCUUAUCUUGCUAAUCUCACUCUGGUCUGGCUAAAGCAACAAUAAAGGCCAAGCAACAACAGGCCAAGCCCUUUCUUCUUAUUAAGUACACAGCCUUAUUAAGUACACUGCUUCCCUUUCUGGUUCCCUUGCUGACCUCAGUUAUUGAUUACUUGACUAGCUUCCUGGCACCUACCGAGUCGCCAACAAAGCAUUUGGUGUCAUUCUCAAGUCGAACAUUCCCACUUUCAUUAUAUCUUAUAAUAUAGGAGAUCAUCUGUUACUAAUGCAGAAGAUUGGUCACACCACUCAUUCUUUUCUGGAAAUUAGAAGUAGUUUGUCUCCUUGCCGACCGAAACUCUCCCCCAGGUGGUAGUCCAGAGUCAAGAGCAAUAAAAGUAGUUGUUGACAGAGCCGAUCCGAAGUCCUUGUAUGUUCAUAACUCGUUAUAAGCAAGUACUCUCACUGGCAAGUCCUGUUUUUGGGUGUUCUAUUAGGAUAUGGAUUUCUUCUAAGCUUAACACAAGCACCGAACCCGUCUCUGUGAACUCUUUCUCCUCUCCUAAUCUAACUCUUUCUCCUCUCCUAUAGAAACAUAAGAAUUGGAAUGCAGAAACUUACAAUAAGAGCAGCAGCUGACCUUGCGGACCUCUUUUCCUUAGUUGCAGCCGCUAGUGCUCGUCUCAGUUCUGUUCUCUUCUGGCCUCCAUCUAAUCUCACUCUGGCUACUCUCAUCUAACUCUGUCAACAAUUCUUCAUUCUAAUACUUCUACUAAUAUGACACCUCUACUGUGACUAAUAAGAAUAAGGGAUCUACUAACCGGUCUUCUUCUUCAGACUCGUUCAACUAAGUAUAUAGUAACAGUCUCAAGCAAGUCCUCUCGACCCUUAAACAAGUAGUUCAGGUAGUCCAGAGCCAUAAGGGUAAGGUAAGGCUUCAGAUACAAGCGGGCGUAACUAUUUGCUAUCAGCCAAGAAACUAGGCAAGUAGACAAGAAGACACAAGUAACAGGGCCAAGUCACUAGGGCAACUCAGUAGUGAGAGUCGGAUCGGUUCAGUCUUAGUUGUACUGGGUUGAUUCUGUCACUCCCCGGUUUGGUUCUGUAACACCUACAGAUCAGUCUGAGUGGCACCCGAACACAGGACUUGGUCAUAACUCGGCAAAUGGAGAAUAUCUCCUCUGAUCUUGCCUCGGAUCCUGAACUAGUUGAUGCUGCUUCAAAGCAAGUACUUUCUUCUUCCUCGGCUCGGAUUGAUCUCUAUUUCUUACCUCGGACAGGACAGGACAGGUUCUAUUCCAUAUUUACUACCCCGGACAGCUUCUUUCUAGGCGCCAUCCCGAACUAUACCUUAACUAUUUAUAGGUCAAACUCACUACACAAGCACCGCACCAGUAUCUUAGAAACCAUUGAAACAAGCAGCUGGCAACCACCCUCUGUCAACUGUAGCUGACCUCUUACUUGCAUUGCUUACCUUUCCACUACUGAGUGCAAUUCUCAAUCUCAAUUGGGUUUCAUACCAGUUCAAUUCACACUUCACUACUUUUUAGGAUAGGUAGGCAGCAAUACCUUACCAGAGGAUAGGUAGACUUCAACACCCUACCUUAGAACUGAGUUUGGAAGCCAACACACCUUACCUUACUUUAUCACCUUACUUGGGAACUUGACCUGGAACUACACUUUACUUUAGAACCAGAACAGGACCACUCGACUACUGGUAUUCAACAAUCACCAGAACAGGACUCCUACUUGUUGGCAUUACUCCUCGUAUACUUGCUACCCGGGCUAUGGCAACGAGUGAAAAUUGAGCCAACUUAAUAUAAGGGCUCUGAUUCUCUACCGACUUAAUUAAGGGCAACUGCCAAGCGACUACUAAACACGCCGCUACUAACCUAGUAAAUACAGAUCGAGUUUACCCUCUGCUCUUGAUUGACUUUAGGACCAACCCUAGUACUCUCAGUAGGAGUCUCCGGUAUUGAACAUACUAAUUAACUUCAUGACUCACUUUCUUAUUUCCUCUUUCUACUUUACUAUAUUUCUAUUCUCCUCUGCUAGUGAAUACUUGAAUGAAAGAAUUCUAUUGCCUAGGAACAGUCUGAUGAACCCGGUAACUAACAAAGGGUAAGUGGGAAAGCAAGUAAGUAUAUGAAUAAUAAAACAAGUAAGAAUGAAUAGUUGUAUAGUUAAGUAUAUAGGAAUGGAUUUGAGGCUUAAAGAGGGUACACGCGGAGGAGAGGUUUUUAAGUAAGGAUGCAAAGGGAGAGAAGCUCACUAAGUACUGUAUUCGCCCACUAAGAUGUUAGGAUCAAAUGAACUAUUUAAUAACGCCAAGACGACAAGCAACUCGGGAUGCUAAGGAAGGGCUCAUAUGUAUUCUUAUUAGAAAUAACUAUUUGUAGUAGCUGUUGUAACGAGUCAGGUGUUCUACCUAAAGAAGGGAACCAUCAAGGGACGCGUGAAGGCUACUCCCACAGGUGCAGAUCCUUUGCCAACAACAAGAACGGAUGCAACUUAUUGUAUUUGCCCUACCCAUCCUCUGGCAACAAAGAUGGAUGAAACCAUGGAAAGAUCAGUUGCUACAAAGACAUAUUCCACUUUACCUAGAACAAGAACUGGAACUGGGGAUGAAACUGCCCCAAGGGAACCAUCAAGGGAAGCGGGAAGGAAAGAAAGGUUGCUUGGCCCUCGAGCACAGGUACGAUUUAAACAUAUACAAAACUAGGAGCGGUCUUCAAGCCAACAAAUAAGGACAGGGCACUUUCGCCAACAAAUGUAAUUGAACUCGAAUCCGCCCUGAACCCUGCACAUGUUCUUAACCAACCAACCCUUUGCUCUUCUCUUAACCAACCUUAGGGCUAUUAUACUUUCUACUUAGUAGGGCUAUUAUACUUGAUAGUUUCAUUGGACGGGGGAAGGUAGAAACCUAUAGAUCUCAAGUCAUGGGUGGGUGCUCUAGCUCUAAGUCUGCUAUAAAAGAAUGGAAUUGCUCUUUCAUUGCUCCUGGGUUUCCCAUACUAAAUGGAAGGGCUUUCUCCUUAUCUAGAUACUAAUAUAGAUAUUCUUAUUAUAUUCUAGAUAUUCUUAUUAUUAUAUUCUAAAGUUCUAAAGAUAAAUAAAGAAAGUAGAGGCGGAAAGGAUUCUCACACAGUCGACAACAAACUAUGACUUAGGUAGGCCCAGGUAAAGAAGGGUAGCUAGCUCUAAGUCUGCAAGGGAAGCAGGGGCUAACUUACAAUAAGGGCGCGCGACUAACAUAGUUGCUUGCCGGGUACAAAAUUCACUAUUUCACAUCUUUCUAUUUGAGUAGAAGGAUUUCCCAUCCAACUCAAUAAGUGACAUUAGAGUGCAUUUUUCGUGUAUAUCUUAACCCCUCCCUUAAUGUUACGUAUAGAUCAGAUCCACAGAGACAUCUGGAUCUUAGUAUCAGAGUUUCGUUAAAUAGGGAAGUGAAUGAAAAGAACCGGGUUCCUCUCUGGCUCCCGAACACAUAGUUCAUUUUCAACAAGGGGACAAUCAACUACUUCAGAAUGGAAUGGAAUAAUAACUGCCAAACAACCACUAGGUAAAAGCCAGUAGCUAGAAACUCUUUCUUCUUCAACAUACUAUAAUAGCAGCUCUAGUACACAAGCACAAAUAACCUUCUCAAGCAAGCGGGUAUCUCGGAAAGCACUCUCAAUCUGUUGUUUCAGCUUAUCCAUCAGUUGUUUCAGCCUAUCGAGUAGUCGACUCUAAAUCAGGUGUUCAAACCAACUACUCUCAAGAUGGUGUUCCAUAAGCCGUAUCAAGGUAAGCUCCUAUCAAUAGAGUUCGGGUCGAUAACAACAAAGGACUGACUGAAGCCACCCAGCAGGGUUCAAUGAGAAGAUACGAAGCUCCAGAGUCUAAUUCCCAUUAAGGAGUUGCAUAAUCUCCUAUACUAAGGAGUUGCAUAGUCUCCUAUAAUAUAAUAAGAACAGAUACUUCAAUUAGUAGAGGCCAAGUAACUAAAAUAGAGUCAAAAAGUGGAAGUUUUCUUUCAAAUAGAGUAAGAAAGUGGAAGUUUUCUUUCCGUUUAUUUCAUGUUUUUUCAAUUAUCCAUUAUUUCACUAAACUACCCGAGCAAGUAAGUAAACAACACUACCCGCUUCGUCACCAACAACUAUCUUAAAUGAGAAUUCUUAGUUGCGCAGAAUUGUGGAAUGGAAAGAGCUCGCUAGGAAUAGGAAUAAUAAGCUCUUUAUCAGCUGUUGAGGACAGAUCCGCUUCCCACCCUCUUGAAGUAGUCGGUUGAUGAGGUCGGUAAAGCAAGUAGGCAAGUCGGCCAAUCCCUCUACCCCGAAAAAGGCUAAAUAAAGAUAGAAAGUAAGCGCAUCUCCCUCGUCUUUGUUGGUACACCAUUCCCUAUUCACUGCCCCCAGCCCCUCUUUAGAAUUAGGUUGGUAGGUCGGCUACGGAUUAGCCAAUCUUCAACGCCAGAAAAAGCAGAAGUGACGGCUUAGCUUAAAGGACUAAGCUCAGUAGUAAGGAAGGGAGGAUCUAUUUGUUUGUUACCAGACCUUUAUAAACCAACCCAGUAUUCCUCGGCAAAGAAAGCCGGUUCGGGUGAGCGGUGAGCAAGGAAGCCGGACCAAUAGGCUCAGUUGAAUAAGUUUCUGUUUGUUACACAAGCUUGAGAGCCAUAUAUUGUUAGUGUGCCGCGCUUGAUAGAGAGGUUGAUUUACCUGUCUUCGAUAUCAGCCCAGUUUACCUUAUCUAUCUUGGAAUGAGGGAGGUUCAUUACCCUAUUUUAGGAAUACGAAGAUUAGUACCUUUCCACCCCUUAGUGCAUAGAGAGGAACUAAUGAAGCAAACAAGCCCUUCCUACUCUUACUUAACAGGUUUUGUCUGUUUCCGGUUUCAUCAUCUUCUUACGAUAGGUCUUCCAUUGACGACCUCUUGAGUUAUCCAAAUAUAGACAAAUAUGGAAUAAGAAUCUAACUAGGUUUCGUCCAUUAGCUAAUCCGGUUGAGUAUGAGGGUUCAAGCCCUCUGAGUUGUAGGUUUCAGUCCUACCCACACCAACCUUAUAAUCUGGAAAUGUUCGUAACGUAAAAUGGUAGUAAGAGCAGUCGACUAAUCUGAGUUCUUCUAGUCGCCGGAUUCUAUGACUAGAGAGAGAGCGAAUCGACACAAUGCUAAUGUCCUAUAAGCGCUAAGUAGCUACAUUCUGAAGUAGAUAUUCUAGCUAUAGAAGAAAGGUAGUAUAUAAGAACAAAAGGGUAGCCGACUUUCUAAUCCUUUUCAAGUCCGUGCUCUGUGCAUGGUCCAGUACAUAUAUCCAAAAGUGUACCGCGCCUCAGUCAUUGGAUUAAGGCAGAUCGGGAAGAGUCAAAACCAAGCCCAUAAUCUUGGGCAAAGCAAGAAUUAAUGCCUCAUUCUUUCUUAUUGAGGGGAAAUCACCAAUGGCUGAAAUGAGAAAUGGCUUCGCUAUGAAUCCGUAAGACGUACCGCCCAAUACUUUAGUGACUUUAGUAUGAUGUUUUCAUUUAAUGGAUCCGGGUGGGUAAGAAAGCGAAACUAUAGUACAUGAUAUCUUGAUAUUCAUUUCAAAUAAGAGAAAGACACAUGUUAAUAAGUGAAAGACCUAUUUGAUAUUGUGAAAGACCUAUUGGAUAUUUGAGUUUGAGCAGCUUUCGAUCCAGUAAUCGUGCCGGGCUCUAUCGAUUAAGUAGUCCAUCCCUCCUUCUUUUCUUGCUCUCGAGGGUUAUAGGCGGACCCAUCAUUUCUUCUAUCUCUAUUUUAGGGGAGUACGAAGUGAUUCUGUCUGUAAUUCCUUCUUAAUUGGAUUCUGCCUUCGGUCCAGAUGCGCCAAACAAGCCAUUGGUUUCAUCUAAUUACCUUGAAGCAGGAGUCUUUCAGGGACGAUUCUCCUAUCCUAUUAGGGGCGUCGGUUGAAGAUGUCAAAGGUCCUUCUUAUUGCUUGAGUUGCCUUGCCCCUCUAUUUGCUAUCAUUCCAAGGAUUCCUACCGUUGUUGUUUGUAAGGCUCAAUGGCUUUUCCCUUAGUCCUUAAUAAUAUUAAUGCUUUCUCUCUCUUUCGUAAGUAUGGAGUCUAAGCUAGGGCUUGAGGUGGGGAAACACAUCCUAUCCCUUACGCAGUAUACCAGUUUUCUAUUCCCGUAGUCCUUAUAUCUGCCUUUUCUAGCCCACUCUCUCAUUCAGUCAAUGGCUUCGUAGAGUUAAUAAGAUUGGACCUUAUCAAAGAAUAGGCUCGGAUAUCUUUGUCAUUUAGCAUUAAUAUCUUUCCGCAGUUGAGGACAAAAAGGUCAAAGGUUCACUUUGGAGUUUUCAAUGUCCAUGAAGGCAAUGUCCCUUUUAUCCCUUAGUUCUUGUAUCAGCUCAAGAAGGUAUUUUCUUCCUUGACGAGUGAGUCAACCGACGCUUAGUUCUUGACGAUGUCCAACUUAUUCCUUCUGGCUUUUUGAUUGAGAAAAGGUGUCCUCGUCUAUCGUCUUCUCUGUGAGUGGUGCAUUGCUUUAUUAAGGAAACUAGCCCUGACCCUAACCUAAAGUAAAGGGCUUAAUUGCUAUGUCUUUAUUCUCUCACGCAAUCCGAAAUAUCUUUCGAAGUAGGCCAAGGAGCCCCCAAGAAGGUGGGCCGGUUCCGUUUUCUUUUUCCUAAUGUAAAUCGUAAGUAAUUGGACUCCUACAAAGUACUAGUUCUCAGUCCUCCAUCGGCCCAAGCUGUUUAGCUGUCCAAAAACAAACAGGGGUUUUCCAGGUGGAUCCUCCCGAAUAGUAGAUUAUCCUGAUAAGGCUCAUUUGAAGUAAGCGAAUCCGGAAAUCAAAUAGUAUCCGACUCAACAACAAAUUCCUCUCCAUCUCAGUCAGGGAAGUUUCUCCCGGGCCUUCGUUUUUGCCUUGUGAGGCAGCUUCUUUUUGCGUAUGACAUUCCGUCGAGUCGGGGGCAUUUUCGUUUUCGCCUUUAUAACAGCCAAAAUCCAGUCAUUAUGUAUAUUACCUUAAGCCUUCUCUUUCGUAUCAAUUGCCUUAAGCCUUCUCUUUCGUAUCAAGGACUUCUUUGUAUUGCUUGUAGAGGGAAGUGCCUCAUCUUCAUUCUUUUCUUUCUGGUGCACGAAGGGAAGGGUCUCAUCCUUUUUUUCUUGGUUCAAAGUUCCUUCAGAGUUCCUUCAGAGUGGUAGAUUGGACCUUUCCUGUUUCGAGUAGUCAUCUUACUAUCCUACGAUGAAUCAUUCCUCGAGACCGACCGAGUCUUUCUUUAACUGAGACCAACCAAUUGCUAGAUGAAAAUAGAACCAGGGUCCAUCCAGACUAGAUAAUCAGGCCUCUUCAUAUGAUUCUGGAAAGUGGGAUUCUUUUAUCGAUUGAGGGAAGAUAGCAAUCACUCAAGUAAGUAUAUAUUACGCUGAAAGCAGCAUCUUAUAGCGAGCAGGUUACCGGCUUUAAGAAAACGGGCCCACGCCUUCUCGAUGCUACUCUAGGCGGUCAAGUUGCUAACAGAAGCCAAAUCCCUAUUUUCACCUCUAUGAACUACCAAAUCCCUAUUUUCCAUUAUUAUUAUUAUUCCAUAUGAUUAUUCUGUCUUGUUAUUAUAUAUGAUUAUUCUGUCUUGUUAUUAGAAGAUAGACUUGGAUUUUCGCUGGGUUUGGCCCUAGAAUCACAAGGAGUUGAUAAACCAUCUGGCAAUUCUUUGAAGUCAUUUUGGAGUCUAUCAAGCUGUCAAACUAUUACUUCAUCAGUAUCAGGCUCUUAGCACCCGAAACAAUACUUUUCCACUUGACUUCCACUGGAACACUUCCCCUAACGACUGAAAUCGCAGCUAACAGGGAUGAAACAAUACCCCGGCUAACUGGAAUGAAGCUACUACCGACAAGAGCCCAACUCGCAACUAUAGCGCUGAACCACACUUUAACCUGCCAUUCCUUUCCUUAGCUCUUUCUUUAGCAGGUGGACUAAGCCAUCUUUUUCCAGUUGCCUUUCAUUCAGAAGCUAUCCCUUGUUUGGCGGUAGAAAGUAUGCCUUCCUAAUUCCAGUGAGUGAAGCAAGCAUAAUUGGGAUGGAAUUCCAGUGAGUGAAGCAAGCAUAAUUGGGAUGGAAUUGAUUCUCUCUUCUAUCCUUGUUCUUCUUCUGUCUAGCUUGAACUCUGUAAAGAAGCGAGUAUCCUUUGAUUCAACCGGCCAACCGAUAACCUAUAGAUUAUAGGGCCUCUUCGUUUCCGAGAGAGGUGCUGAAAGCCUCUUCUUUUCUUUCACCACUUUGGAUAAGAAAUAGAAAUAGCACCAACGAGAACUCCAUAUGCAGGAUCCCCAUAGAACCUGAGGUUAUUGAUGAUGAUGCCCGGUUUGAGUAUUAUUUCCCUUCCUUUUAUUUCUACCUUAUUAAUUGUUAGGAGAGGGGUGCCUUCGGCGGACACAGGUGGUGCAUGGCUGUCGUCAGCUCGUCUCAUCCAUACCCCAAUUGGACCGGACUGCUUUCCUCCUAUUCCUUAUGCCUUGGACAGGAAGCCCUUUGCCUAUUUGUUCCAUUUACCAGACUGACUUCCAUGCCAAUAGCCACUACUUGCUUAGGUAAGGAACGAAACGAGCUACAGCGGGAAGCACGGAAAGAAAGUCAAGGGAAAAGAAAAAGGUGCCUUGGCAGAGUGACCGGUGCUACUUUAGCUUAUCUAUGAUUCUUAUCCUCCAGGAUUUGGCUAUUCAUAAAAAUGCAAUAGAAUAAAUAGGUUGAUUCUUCUAUCUUUCCUAAAAAGUCAAAACUAUGAGAUUUUAUGCUUUUAUGACUUGAUCGACUUUCCACAAUAGUUAGAUCUUAAGUGAAGCUUGAUUUCCUCUUGAUUUCUUUCUCCUUCUCUUCUAAAAGACUAGUUGUUCUUCUUUAAUAAUGUGCCACCCGAUGUAAAUAUGCAUGAAAUGGAAAAGUUGGGGGAUUUUUCUCAAGUGAGAGUCUGUCCCAAGAUGCUUUCCAGAGCUUGACACUUGACUCGGUAAGCAAGCAUUUAUGACUGGACCCGCCGAGACGUCGAGAUUGGGCUUAGUCUCUACAUUGGAUCAAGAGCGGGGUGAGAGGUCUCCCACUCAAGUCCCUGGUCGCUAAGGGGGGUUCUUUGAUUGAAUCCAAAGUCUUAUUCUUUUUCAUGUCCAAUCUUCUGCUUUCCUUUCCAAAUCAAAAAGAGUCAGAUUCUCUUAAUUAGAGUUGUAUUCUUUCUGUCCAAUUCAAUUCAAACAUGCAGAUUAUACCUGCGAAUGAUAUUCUUGAGCUGAGCCUCUCUAAAGCAAAGCCAAACACUUUCUUUCGGAAAGGACUGAAGACGAGUUGAAAAAAGGAUGCUGUAAUAAAGAAAUGAGAAAGAUUAGCCGCGGGAGUUCCGUCUUUAUCUGAGAUCUUGCGCUCCUUUAUCUCCAUCUCCCAUUUUCUUCCGUAUUGCAGAAGAAGCUCUUACCCGAGGUUUAUAACAUCUGAGGAAAAUCCAAUUGAGAAGUUAUUCAAGGCCAACCUACUACCUAUUCAUAUUCUCUUUAUGCAGAUGAUGUUCUUUUUUAUGCCGUGCAGACGUUAGCAACCUUUUUCGAGCAGUAGCUCUUGAAACUUUCUUCUUUCAAAGAGGCUCCGGCGACAGAUAGUUCCAGAAAAACAAACCCUUGUUAAAGUCAUCUUGAUAAGUGAAAACACAUAUUCCAUUGUUAAAGUCAUCUUGAUAAGGGACCUGAGAUUAUAUAAUGAAGUCAAAACUAUCCUGACUCAACAAGCUACGGAACAAACAAUCCAACAAUAAGGAUGCUAAGGGCUAACAUGUGGUAUAAGAAAGAGCUUGUUCUUGGGCUAACAUUGGUAUAAGAAAGAGCUUGUUCUUAUAAAUUGAAGAAAAGAAUGGAAUGGAGUGCUCUCCUACUCUAUAAUGAGGUAAUCCCACUGCCUAUUCUACACUCGCUCACGUAAGCGCACCCACUCCUUGAAAGUAACCUAACUGCUUCCUCUGGCUCUAUGCCUUACAGCUUGCUUACAGCUUUCAUUGCACCACCCAUUGUGUAAAUGUCAAUAAGUCAAAAGACCGCUUUGCUUCGAACAAGUAAUGGAACAAGUGGUUACACUAAUGCCAGUUACCCGGGGUUGAUUCCACUUUCUACUUUGUCUCGUUGGACUUGCAAACUUUCUACUUCACUUUCUACCCUAAUGCUUUUUGACUUGAUCUCUUCUAUUGCCUAUACAAUUGUAUUUUCUCUCUUCUCUUGCCUAAAGCUUUUUGACUUUACCUCUUUUCUCUUGCCUAAAGCUUAUUCUCUACCAAUUUGUUACUUUCUCUAGACUUCAAAGACUGAACAACGGGCUUCUGGAGCUCGUACACUUGCUUCAAAACAAAGCAUUGCUUGAAAACGGACUAGUCCCCUUCUUGCUUGUUCUCCUGCUUACUCUAAGGAAUAUCAUAUCUGCUCUGCACCCUGGACAGUACCCCGGCCUUCUAGUUAUUUUGUAAUUCGCUAAGAUUAGCACCUACCUAAAAAGUACCCCGGAAAGUCAAAGAAUAUGGAAUUAAGGUAAGGCGAACUCCCUAGCGCUCUGAAUAAGGAAGAUGAUUAUUGCCUUUUUUCUUGUUCUCUCCCACUUGCUUGUUUGAAUGGAAUUAGAAAGCAUAUUGCAUAAUUGAGUGCACUACCACUUAUAGAUAGAUUCUAGUAAACAACCCUAAGACCCCAUUACUUGCUGCUUCACUACUCCUAACGCAUGUAAAUAUCAAUUAAUAUACUAGUUGUGACUAAAUAAAUGGAAUAUGGAAACCCGCACCAACUGAUAAGUAAGCGUUAUCACAAGAGAUAAGAGAGUGCAAAAGAAUAGAAUAUAUUGCAAAAGAAAACAAUUGAGGCAGACAAAGCCGUACCCUUUCUAGUAAGCUAAUGAAAACUUACUGGAUUGGUGAAUUACCCAUAGAAACUCCUAACAGAGUGAACCUUUCCUCACAUCACUCUCACCUCACAGCAGGCUCAGGCUCUGCUACACUGAGAUUAGUUAGAACUGUGAUUUUGCUUUCUUUUUGCGGCUCUUUCCUUUGCUUUGAUUAGAGAGAUUGAGUGGUGCCCGAAACUUACUAAUGCAUAAUGGCGAACUCUAAACUCACUCCUGACUCCUUCCUUUCAGAACUAAUAUUGGCAGCCUCACCCUAACUCUAUCAAUUCGAAAACAUAUUACUGCCGACGUCUUUCUUAACUCAACAGUCUUCUGCUACCCAAUUGAUUCUAUCGAGCUCAACUCAAAGAUUCAUUUAUUAACACUGAUUGAUGCUAUAUAUCUUAGGUGCUGAAAGCCUAUAAACUCCCGUAAGCUGAAGAAGGCAAGGCUUAUUUCAAAGUAUAAAGGCAAGAAGGGAAGACAUCUUUCUCGUUGUCAACACCAUUAACUUAAGGGCAAGCACCGAACAGAGAUAUUUCAUGCAACCUACUUAUUAUCUUGACCUGCGCGAAACAUCUUUGAACUGUUAUAGCGCAUUGUAUAUAAGAGAGGAAUAUAACCCUGGAUUUGAUAUACUAUGCUUUCUGCUUAUACUAUUGAACCGUAACACUCGAAUGGGAACUGCUCCAUACUCUUAUUAUCCUUGCUUCAACACAAACUCCUAACUCUUUUCUUUAAUAACUUAGAUAGGUAGGCACUCCACUUUCCUUAAGGACUCGGCUGGGCAUCCCGCAACAAUAAGAAGAAUAGUGUUUCUGCCCUUUUGACUGAAAAACGGACUUAUGGCUUUUCAAAGCAAGCUCUUUAUAUAGAAAACAGGACUGGAACUUGCCCUCUGUUGCUAACAGCGCCCAUUAUCGGUAAAGGAAGGUAGAAGAACCCCUAUUAUUUAUGGUAUCCAUCCGUUCGAGGUCCUGUAGAAAGUUAUGAUUCCUAUCUGCAUUCUAGAAUAGAAAUCGCAUAAGUAAUCAUAAGUCAUUAAUACAGGCCAAACAAUAACAAGUGACGGAGUUUAGAGUUGCCCACGAGGCGAGGAGAGAGAUUCAAUCCAUUCUGUUACUGCUCCUGUGUGAGUUUCAUCCCAUUUAGAAGCUGUGCCAAGCCGGUAAGAUUCAAAAGAUAGGGAAGGCUUUCAGCACCUUAUAGAAGGAAGCAGUGAGAGUCAAGUCUAGGUCGCCUAUUUGAUAGAAUUGAUAUCUCUUUAUGCGUGUUAUGCAUACCCUAUAGAUGUAUCUUAAGAUGGAGUCUCAUAAGGAUCUGGAUCCGGUUCCAUAUAGCCUCCCCCUUUUGACACUCAAUUCUCACUUUCUUGGAAAGAGACAGGGUUGGUUACCUUCUUCUAUUAGACCGAGCAAAAGCCUAGGUUUCCACUUAGUCCCCUACGAGGCACAACUCAGUACUUAAUGAACUAUCAAAUGGAAUUGACAUUACCUUCAUUGCUUAACACAAGUAUACCUUUCCUAGACUUAAGUAAGAGAGUCAGUUUCUCCUAUCCUAUAAGUAAUAGAAGCAGAAGAGAAUAGAGCCGAAUGAAGUUUCUAGUUUACAGUUGCCAUAGGUGUGCCAGCAGGGUUCCAUGAUUUGUUGCCAGAGGUAUAGUAGCAAGAGGAGAGGAACUCUUUAUUAGUUUACAGAGAAUCAUUAAGCUUGCCAGCCUCUUGUUGGGAACUAAACGGAUUUGACCCCUUGUAGUCACUAAAGAAGAUAAGGUUAGGCCCAGAUGUUAUAGAAUGAAGUAAACACAGAAAUAGGUGUUAAGGGAGUUAAUUAAGUAAGAAAGAAAUAGGUGUUAAGGAAGUAAAGAGUUAACAAUGUAGAAAGAGUUAAGGGAGGUAAGAGAUAGUACUGGCGCAAGAUAGGUAAACGAUUUAAGGAACCGAGAAAAACCCUUAGGACUGAUGGCUCCAUUCUAUAAACGAUGACAUAUUACUUGGUUGUUCCCUUGCUUGGUGAGUCAGAGAUAGAUUCUUUGUUUCACCCUCUGUUUAAACGUAGCCCACUAAGGGAACUGUCACUCGUAUUCUUUACUUAUCCAUCGGUGUUGGUUGUCAACCCAUACCCUAGCCUAGAUCUAAUAGACAGGGAGCGUAAGGAAGCAACAGAAGGUUCAGUUAGGUAUCAAAGAAUAUCAUAUCAGUGAAAAAGCUUCUUUCUGUUCGAAGAAAGUAGAUAGUUGUUUGUCGAAAGGUUAAAGUCCGAUCACCCUGCUUUUAACACCAGAGGCACUUUACUAGCACUAUCAGGGUUGGCAAUUCCAUAAGUCAACUCUAUUCUUUAGUUCAAUACAAACUAGAUGGUUGAUCAAGAGCACGCCGGUUGGUUCUUAGUCUUUCUCCCGGUAGUCCAGUUGCUAUGGUUCUGAUCCGGAUCUAUCAGCUCUCAAUUCUAUUCUUAAAGCAAAGAAAGAAAGGGGACUCGCUCUGUUAGCCGAUGAUGUAACUAUACUUUCUGCCUUAGACACUCGAAUUACACUUUAUAAAGCAUCUGGUCCUAAUCAUGCUUCUUAUCUAUCUUAUAACCCUUAUUGGGCUUCUCAAGUACCCGAACGAACUCUAUUUUCUUUCUGAACCUGAACCCUUGACUAGAUUCUGACUUGGCCACCGAGUCCAAAAUGAAUUGAUUAUCUUGUGCACCAACUAGCUUAGUAGAAUUAAGCCGUUGCGCGUUAGUGAGCUCAGGUAAAGAAACCAAAGGCAAUACCCACCAUACCUUUAAGAUUCCCUGAGAACUAUGACUUUAUUAUUCUGAACCGAUUGAUUCCACUCUCACUGCGGAUUCCGGCAAAGGCACGGCUACUUAUCUCUAUGACUUAACCGAGCACUGAUUCACUUGCGGAACAGCUUACCACUUCUACCGCUACAUGGGCAUGAGAUCCUGAUCCUGACUCAGCUUCAAAGCAAGUACUUCUGCCCGAACAAGACUUUAAGACGAAACAAGAGAUGAAACUCAAACUGGUCAUUCUGUGGCUUCUGAUCUUGAAACAGAAACGGAUCUUAUAGAUUCAAGUGGUCGGGUUCUCAUCCUUAGAAAAUGGUAAAGAGGAUUGGAUAUCCCGGAGAGCGUUCCUAUUGGGUUUUGCCCUCCGCUCGAGCUCAACCUUUGGUCAUCCAAUAUGAAAAGGAAGGAUUGCUAGUACUAUGGGUAAGCUAUUCUAUAUGGACAAGCAGACUUCUACCAAAUCCCGUCUCGUGUUUGAUAGGGUCUGUAUUUCUUUAAAUAAAGCUCUCCCUUAUAAAAAGGUUUGGAUCGACAUCGGAUCUUGAGGAACAAUGUGUCCAAUACGAAUAAAUGGAUUCCUCUUUGCAUGUACUAAUUGCAAGGCCACGGGUCAUAAAGCGGAACUCCAUACAGUGAAAGUGACUCCUCCUUUGGUGCCCAAGGAUUCUGCACAAUCUGGAAUAUCGACUUAAUGCCUCUGAGAACUGUAAAGCUACCUCCACACGGGUUCUUAGGCCGCGCCCAAUCCGGAGCCAACUAACCUUGAACUUAGGUUUAGGCUUUCUUUCACACCAGCAUUAACCAGAGCUUGGAGCGAUUCCUACUGGUGAUGUAUGCCAGAUUGGAGCCGAGCAAGCAUCAAAACGUCAAGAAAGAGCGCUAAGCUGUUUUUCUUUGAUGCUGUAGUUGGGCACUUUCCUAUUUUCUUUGAUGCCCACUUUCGCUAACCUGUAUUUAAAAGAUGCUGUUGUUUGCUAGUUCCAUCAUUUAAGAUAGAUGCUUUUUGCUAGUUCUAUCAUUUAAGAUACAAUUUGACGGGUACCUAAAGAAAGGUCCGUAAGUCGCAGCAGUUGCUUAAGAUCUUUGCCCUCUUGUGUUCACUAGCCCCCAAAACUAGCUAACGGAGCCCUAUCUUCUUAUCAAGUGUUCACUAGCCCCUAUAAUUGUAAGGAAAUUUAGAACUCGCGGAAGCUUAUUUACUUGUGCGCCGGGCAGCUUACUUGACUUUUCUAUUGCCGACCUAUAAUGCGUUAGCUUUCUUGAGCAGGUGCUAAGCCGUAGUGCGUUAGCUUUCUUGAGCGGAUGCAUUAGUUAGUUUACAUUCUCUUGGCUCUGCUCCACCAAACGGAACUGCUUGUUGAAACCUCACAGCUUAUAGCUAUUACCCCACUACACUACCGAUUAAGAAAGGACUUGCACACUUAGGAAUUCUGCCGAAACUGGAAUGAAAGAAUGCAACGGGCCCUAUUAAGUCAGUAGGAAACCCUACAUUGAACUCACUUUGUCAGGGCAAGAAGGCAGACUCAUAUAACUAAGGCAACUAUACCUAUGGCGACGAGAACUAUCCGAUUCUCCUGCCCGUGGUCAACUAAUUGGAUUCUGCAGUUGUUUUCGCUUGGCCUCAGUACUGAACUUUGUAGUUAUCCUCUAGUCUAGUUGCUUGUUUGCUCUUGUAAUUGCAGAAUGUAGUUUCCGUUUGAAAGUAAUAAUAGCUAUAGUAGAAGCAGGCCAUAAUACAUAAUUGCAAGCGCAUAUCUAAUAUCUGAAUUCUUCUGAAGCACUAACUGAGCUGACAAGUAGUCCAUUUGGAGAGUUGGUAUCAGUUCAAUGAAUAAGGGAUGCGGAAGACCACUCCCUUUGUUUUAGUUGAAGACCUGAGAAGAAGACCUCAUAGUUAAUAGAGUUUUAUAUCUGAGUAGAAGCCCACUAUGAACAAGUCCUGUGAACUUAUAUAUCUGCGACUUAACGAGCACUUAAAUAGAUUCCAAGAAGGAAACCACAGAGAGCUGCAACACACGCAACAGCACACAGAAAAAGAGCAGCACACAGAGAAAAAAGAACAGACAAAGGGAAGAAAGAAAAGAAGUCAACUAGUGAGUUAAUCCGGAGUUAACCUGCUUUUUUGUACUGUAUUCGCAAGUAAUGAGCUCAAUCAAAUAUGUUAUAUAAUUUGUUAUUACCUUUACUACUCUACUGGUUGGGCAAGGAAGCAAUAAGUAAGGAAUAAAUCUCGUCUCUCUCUUUGGGUGCUCUGAACCAACCUAAGUGCUCUCUCAGGCAGGAAAUACAGAACUCAACUCUAUAGAAAGUCAGAAUUCCACAAUAAACUCAGUAUCCGCGGAGGCAACUGGUAGAUCAGCAACAGCAAGGUUCUCUAGUCCAGUAGCCAAAAUACAGGACUUAUGAAAAACUCUUAGUUCUUGGCUCUUCAAGUCUUGACUGCGCUGUUAAGGGUAAUGUAUAAACCAGAGGUAAAGUCGUCAACUACAACUGAUUGUUCUGCUCUAGCUCCUUGUCUUUCUCGGGUACGAUAAAGUGUCCUAUAGUGCAUUAAGUAUGAAGUAAUCGAAUUUGUAACUACAGCGCCUAGCCCUUUCACCUGACAUCCGGCUGCUGAUCUCGUAGACAAGAAUGUAGACUUUGACAUUGCCUUCUUAUACUGAUUCAUAUGAUGAUCUAGCUCCUGCGCUGAUGCUUUAAUAGAAAUAUAUGACGAUACAAGCGCCUUAGCGAUCACACUUCUUGUCCCGACAAUAACACCUCUUGUCCCGCAUCAGGUCAAUCUGGUGUGAAAGCCCUCUUCCUCUUUAUCUAAGUUGAACUCCUCCCCUGUUUAACAGAGCUAAUGAGAAAUCCAUCAUGAAAAUACUCUAUCGGCUGUUGAAAUGCUUUGUAGCCCUGUCAUCUUUACCCCUCUGGACUGUACCGUAGGGAAGCUUUGUAUUGACUUCUUUUUAUCUAUACAAGGUGCUCGAUAUGUUUUAUUUGAAUUCAUUGAUUUGACUGUUGCGUGUAAGCUUAUUGACCCACUACUACAUGAGGAUAGUUUGUUUGCCGGAGCAAGACGUUCUUCCAGAGGAGAGGCCUUGAAGCUAUAAGUCAAGAAGUGCAGAAUUGCACUCAGUAGUGGUAGAUGAGACAGAGGCAUGGGGUUCAGCGAGGGAUGAAACUAGAAGUCGCUUUGCAGUUGCCCUUAUAUUAAGUCGUUAGGAGUUGAGUUAUUGGCGUUAAAGCCUUAGUAGUGGUCGUGGUCCUGUUUCAUCAGUAUUAGUUGACUUCGGAUCAAGACUAAGUGCUAAUGCUUACUUAUUGGGGCAAUCUGAUAGACUCACUUCUUUUCCUGCACAGGAAUGCUAUGCUUCUGGUUCUGCCCUCGAAAGGAUCUUUAUUUGUUUACUUUACUUCAUACUAAACAGCUUAAGCUAGUGCGAUGCGAGUGUUGUCUACUUGUUGCGGUAAUAGAAUCAGGGGGAAUGCUAUCAAGGUAUAAAGCUGGGGCUGGGUAAAGGGAAAGGGGGAUGAAACUCGUACACAGGGAGCUCAUCGACACAAUGACUUCUACGCGUUAAGCUCUAGCGGCAGAUUUCUUUAGAACGGCUUCUGACCGAGGAGACCCCCUUUCAUCGUUUGAUCGUUAUCGAGCUAAUUCAUCUGUUUUCGUCGCCUACUUGUUGAAUAGAUUCAUAAAUCUGUCUGAGCUGAGGUAAGUCUCUACGCUCGAAAGGAGGUAUCUUCUCGAGUCGUUAGUCGGGCAUACUGUCUUAGGAAAGUAGCUCCUUUGGAGAGCCAUCUUUCCGAGUCGGGAGUUAGGGGGCUUGAAGCACCUUUCUUCUCUGUCCUCUCGGGUAUUAGUGUUUCUGCUGUUGGGUACUGUUUGAGGUAAAGGGGGGCGUAGGGUCCUGUUUACCAAGUGGGUUGUCCAAUCUUGUUGUAGCUUGCUGUGCCAUGAGUGAGUUUGCUACAGAGUCGUAAUUCUCUCUUUUUGAAUAGCUGUAUUUGACUAAGCUAAGAACAAAUCUCCCCGGAAAGCGUAUACUAGGAGCCGGAGCAGAGCCAGCUGCUUGUUUCAAGAAGUAUUAGUGGACAGAGCCCGAGGUUCCUUAAUUCAGUAUCUAGUGGGCAUUCGAACAGUAUUGCAAAGUGGUUGGGUUGGUAGCUUGUUGGAUUAAGGGUCUGUCUCUACUUUCCUCUGCGCAACAAGACGUCGUGCAUCAGUGAGGCAUAGCCUACUUAUCUUUUUUAUACGAAAGAAGUCCAGCACCCAACCCAUACUCUAGCUCAAGCCAUCACUUCUAAAGCUAUAAGAAAGAACUAUCUAAAGCUAUAGGCGAAAGACAACUCUACCACUUAUAGAAGUACAGGUACCGCUACGUGGGAUAAUAGGUAAUGUAGGCAUCCGCACUAAUUUGCAUUCUAUAUACGAGACUUUCUUCUUUCCCGGAACCCGCACCAUAAGAUAGAUGAAACUACAAACCACUUUCUGCUUUCCAUGAACCCGGGCACCAUAAGAUGGAUGGAUGAAACUAAUAACCACUUGACCUUAACCCUUAGCCUUUCCUGUACAAGAGCAAGAAGACCACUUUCAAUAUACGAUUCAAAAAGCACUUAACCCUGUACAAUAGCAAUCGGUACCCUAAAAGCACUGAACUCUGUACAAUAGCAAUCGGUACCCUAAGAAAAUAUGAAUCUAGUACGUACUUAUUGCCUUAAGCACACCUCACUAUAACUUUCCUUAAGCUAUAUAGAUAUAUAAUUAUUCAUGAAAAGAAGAGGCCAUAUCAGUAUAGUAAGUUCACUGGCCCUUACUCCAAUUCUUCUGUAUCAUUCAUUUCGAUUCCAAGUCUAAAGUAACGUAUAAAUCAAACCCGGGAAACUAGCUAACGUAUUUGUUCUAGCAUUGUUGAGUUGAGUUCACUCAUAUCGGCACUGUUAUAGAAGAGAGAUUUUGUGCUUCCCUUAUAAUGACUAGAUUUUCUUUGCUUCCCUUAAUUACUUAUAUCGGCACACUGUUAUAGAGGAGAGAUUCUGUGCUUCUCAAUUGCUGUAGGUAGAGCUUCACUCUUAUACGGGUUUUCUAGUAGCCGCAUUGUGGUCGGGGGACAGUGUCUUGUCGGGUUCAAUGAAUUGGAGUGAAAAGAGACUAGGCUGUUCGCGAGGUCUGUUAUUCUUCUUAUUCUUAAACAGAAACUUACACUUACUAUAAGGGAAGGGCAGGACUACCACUUUCUACUGGCUCCAUUAGUAGCAAUAGGAGUUAUCGGCUUUCCCGAGUAUACGAGCUGGGGCAAUCAUCCAGUCUCCUAUAAUAGAAUAUAAUAAGAAGAGCUAUUUAUAAGGGCUUUCCUACCAAGCAACCACAAAAUUCCGUAUGUCUCUUUAUAUAGGAGAGGCGGGAUCCAAGGUUAUGUCGCAUUCCUAACAAUCAUCCUGCCAGCUAUAGCAACGACCCAGCUUGGGGGAGCAGAGGAGACCCAUCACAAAAGGGCUAGACGAUCGAAACUAUUGAGAUGAACCCAUUUUAUAUACGACUCAAGCUCUUGGUCCGUUUCCGUUUCUGAAUGAGUUGCUGAAAAGGAAGUUUGAGUAUGAAGGUAAGAAUCAUAGGCUUGAGCUAGGCAUGCUCGAUCUAGAUAACACUUCGUGCUCCUUCCUUUGAUAAUUGAGUGGCAGAGGUACAGAAAGAAAUUGAGUCUCUUGGGCACCUUAGCCAGGUAUAUAAAGAUGUAAAGAGACUGCUUCCCCAUCUUAUGAAUCUGAUACAAACUUAUGAUCUUGUUCCUACUCGUACUUCCUCACCUGCUUACGCGCAAGGAAAGUCUAUCAAAGCAGUAAUAGUGGAAUGGAAUAGCAAGUUUCCGUUUUGAAUUGCAGAAUGGAAUGUUGAAUCAAAGGUGAAAGUAAGCGGGAAAGGAAUCAAGAAAGAAUGCUUUGGAAGGCUUGAAUGCCCGGCUAGCAACUAGGAAAGUCACUACUGGACAAGCAACGAAGCGGGGCCAAGAAACUAGGCGCCAAGUCACUAGGCCCAGUGUUGUCUACGAUAGAAGCAGUUAGCAGAUCAUAAGCUUUUCGAUAAUCCGCAACAGAACUCGCAAGGUAACCAUCAACUUCUGUCCUGGAAUCAAUUGAUGUUCUUGAAAAGUAGGUGUUUGGCAGAGGUGUCAAGGCCUUAUUAGAGAAAUCCAGCGUUCAAGCGGAGAAGCUAUGCGAGUGAAGUCAACGAUAUUAGAAAAGCGGGAUAAGAAUCAUAAGUAGUGCGCAAGUAAUGAAAGUCUGCAGUUAGAGCGGAUUCAUAAGUGAUAGGUGUGGAGCAGGAUCAAAAGAAGGAAAGUAGACAUCGACAAGAGAAUCAUCAUAAUAAGAUAAGGGAGAACCCAGAUAUAGAAGAACUUGGCUAUACAGAACCAGAACUUCUAGUUAAUAAGUUUUCCUCCGCGUGUAAGGGAACAGAGUUGAUAGGUGCAUUUUCAAUAGUUAGAUAUAUGGCAUCAGUUCAUAAAUAUCUCUUUGAUUGAGUUGCGCUAGUAGAAAGAAAGUCAAGGGCUUACAGUAGCUGAGUUCCAGAAGCCGAAUCUCAUGCCUAUAAGAUGGAAUAGAAGCAGAAUGAAAGAGAGCGGUGCUGGCGACGAGAGAGAAUCCGCGGGAUCAGUAUCUGCUGCAGUGAGAGUUGAGAUCGGAAAGAGAGAUUCUUGUUUCAAGAGAAGAACAUGAAGAAGGAGGAUAUCACUUCCAUGUGGGUGUUCUGUUGGGUAUCGGUAUCCUUUCUAAAAGAGCCCCCAAGCUUUUUCGUGAGAUCUUUCCUGAAUUUUAGGGUGCGCAGUUACAUGUUUCCUUUCAUAAGUCAUGGGUAACUGUGUGUAAAUAUCUUUUGAAAGAAGAUGCUGAUCCGUUCUUCUGGGGCAAUGGAGAUCUGCUCACAGUUCAGAAUGAAAUUCAGGCCUGCACGAAUCAUACUAGGAAGCCAGUCAGUAACAUGGAGAUUAUCGACAAACUUCAGAACUUAGAUGAGUGGGAACAUGUCUAUAAAGAUCCGGAUCUAUUGAACAUGAUUUUCCGUUCGUACAAUACCCUUAGAUCAGUUUACGAGGAUAUGCGCCUGAUAAAAGACAGUGAAAGUUCGCUGCACACUCGCUUCAUAAAAUCUCUUUCCGAUCGUGGUCAGCCCGCCGAAUAUACAAUUCCGUAUCUGAAAGAAAAAGACUAUUUACUUGAUUGGAUCGCCGUGAAUGUUCUAUUUCAUCGUCCAAUUAAGACCAAGCAAUUGCGGAUUUAUGGGGUUCCUAGCACGCAAAAAACUCUUCUUUUCGAAAUGCUAAACUCCGUGCUUAAUAUCUACCAUGCAACUACUAGAAAGAACGAUAUUACUGGUGCCCACGACUAUUACGAUUUGUGGUUGUUUGAUGAAUUCCAUGUGGUGGAAGAUGCUAAUCUGAGUUCCGGAAUCAGCCAGGCGAUUAUGGCAUCGACAAACAACACAUUGCUUCGAGUUUUAGAUGGUCAGCAAUGCCGUUUGGAUGCAAAAUAUGGUAAGCUCUUCAACCAAAAAAGAAAUGUGCCCACAGUAAUGAUAACAAAUUCUCCAUCUCGAAGUCUUAGGCAGCGAGGCCCCUUCCAUGAAAGGCUUAUGAGGCUUAAGUUGAAGAAUCAUAUUUAGGAUCUUAAAGAGGAAAGAGUUAUUGCAACCUUAUAUGGCUGCUUUACUCGAAGGCUUUUGCAGAAAACAAUGUUGUGGGAAAACGGCUUUCUGCUUCCACUGAAGUAUAACGAAGAAAUAGGUUCUAUCACGCUGUUCCCUAGUCUGAAAAACCCUUCUGAAGAUAUCAGUUACGAAGACCGUUUUAUACAGGACCCCCGCGUCUGCGAGUCUUUAUUGCAAGAAGGGGACACUGGCAACAUCCUAACUCGUAGUGGUCAUCGCUUGGACAUAGUGGUUUCUUCCAAUUUACGAGGUGUUGCGAAGUCGUAUGAGGAAUUCCUUCAUUUGAAAGGUGUGAUGAACACGUUCAGUCUGCAGUCAAGGACAAGAAAGAGCCCCACGGACGUGCUCUCCAAGGAUGAGGUCUUCUCUCUGCUGGAGUUCGUGUUCAUUCCUUUAGCCCCUCAGUCAGAUCCUUUGCAACAACAUCGGGGUAAACCCGUAAUGUGGAAGCAGUUCAAGACGCUAAAUAGCGAAAGUCGUGCUUUCAACGUUGGCAUUUUUGGUUAGAACACUGAGUCAAAGAAUUCUCCAUGGCACCGCAUCGCGGAUCCAUUGCAAAGCGAGUUCGAUGAAUUAGGCGCUGAUAGCUCAUUAGCUUAUUAUGCUUCGUGGCCGCUUCAAAUGUAUAUAAAGGGGUUUGACAUGUCCUGCAGCUUAGGUGUUACCUAUACAUAUGAUGACAAUACUCUUGAUAGAGCACCUUCGAAUCCGCAUACGGUGGGUUGCGUUCCUCCCAACACUCAUAUUUUCCAAGGCACCGUUACCUUGAAAGUCAAUGGUGGAACCUACCGUGCUACUCAGUGGAAAAGAAAUGGGGAUGUUCUGAGUGUUAGUUCUUCUCGUGAAGGUUGGAUGACUGAAUCUGACGACUAAUUCUUCUUAUUUCAUUUCCGUUUCUUUGUCCGUAACCUCUUUGUCCGGAACCAAGUGUAUCUCCGGAGGCUUUAUCCGGAACCAAGUGUAUCUCCGGAGGCUUUAUCCGGAACCAAGUGUAUCUCCGGCUUGUGUCCGGCCCCUAAUCAAUCAAUGCCUCUUCCCUACCCAAUGCUUCUUCCCUAACUAGGACUCACUGUGCUUAAUUGUGUAGGUUCCCGGUGAAUAAUUUGAGAAGAAAUGCAAAAAAAGUAGAAAAGUCAGAAUCUACAAAAAGGUGUAGAUAGGUACGAAUAACAGGCGGGGGGCAAAGAACGAUAUUUAACAAGAUGGAAUGCCUGGCCAAGAGCUACUGUUUGUAGAAUGAAAUGUAGUAGAGACAUACUCAGAGUUCGGAGCAAGGGACUUGGAGACAGGAGAAUUACAGAAGUAAGGGAAAGGAUGAGAAGCAAGGUAGUGCGUACGAGACCAUUGCUAUUAGGUAUGAGACCGGACAAGCUAUAGCGUAUAUAAAGGAGUCUUUCCUAUCAUCCCCUCUUUCCGUGUCCUUGUAUUUGGCGAAUCCUCGAGAUACCUGCGCAGAUGUUUUAAUUGGAAAUAAGAAUAAACGGAUAGAGAUGCUUUUCCUAGUGAAAGGUGCCUUUGGAUUCGAAAGGACUUGCAAACUUAGCUCUUUUUCUGGGCUUGGCUAUAUUUUCGCUGGGCUGGAAUGGAAUGUGGGUCUUCACAAACAGGGGAUUCCUUCCUAAAGAAGUUCUGCCGACGGUGUUGUUGAGGAGAUGAGAUUACGAGGUGAAGGAGCUGGGUUAGGAGCUGGCAGAGAAAUCAAACCUGAUCCAUAAGAAUGUCCAAAGGAGGACCGCUGGACGGAAGGAGGUAUUGGUCAAUCUCUUUCUACUCUUGGGUCGUCAUCAAAGAGGUUUACGUUGGUCGUCAUCAAAGAGGUUUACGUUGGUCAUCAUCAAAGAAGUUUACGUCCGGGGUCCCUUUCAAACCGGUGAAGUCCACCCGAGAACACCAACAUUCCUAGUUGUAUCAUUGAGUGGAGUUUAGUCAUUUUACGUUUAGUCAUUUGACUUAUUAUUUGAUUGGCGAUUACUGACUAAUUGGCUGACUGAUCAAGGAACAACAAACAGAACAUGCCAUGCUAUGAAGGAGAUCGCUUCUAUGAUCGAUGUAUGACCAGAAAAACUCAUGCAAAUGCACUUUGACCCUGCCUAUGGGAGUUCCUAAACUGGAGUUCCGAAACGGGCAUUCUAUGAACGGGUAUCCAGCUGUAAAAGUUUCCUCGUCUAGUAUCUAGUCUCAUACCUCUUGUGAUGGUGCUACAUCCCGCAUUGACUUUCCUUUUACCUCUACUUAGCCUUAGGGAAGGAUCUCUUUUGUGUUCACAUCCUAGUUUUCCCACAUACGUUUUGCAAAGUUUUCCUAAUAGCAUUCGACGAAAGGGCAACUCUUGCGGGUAUUUGGAGGGUAUUCUAUGGAAAAAGCAUAAUAAGCCAACGGGGUCUUAGGACAAAAGACAUCGGUGACUGAGAUACCUACAUUGAUGAAUCGAACCUAUAGCAAUGCCGCUCCCCUUGCCAAUCUGCUCUUUGCUAGUCCGCUAACCAAGAAUCAAAGGCUUUUAGCAUCCCUUAUGAGAUUGGUUUGACCUCCCGCUAGAUCGAUAGAAAAGAAUAAUUGGACUUGGCUGAGCUGGGGAAAUGAAGGGGAAUAUCUUAUCACUGGCUGAGCUGAGGAAAUGAAGGGGAAUAUCUUAUCACUCCAACGGAAACGAAAUCUCUAGAGAAAGCAUAAGGAAUUAGAUUCGCAAUAGCAGCGGCUAUCCCACCAACUUAUAAGAAAAGGGUGUAAACAGGACCUUAGUUGAUAGUGGAAUUCUUCUGGGAUUGUUUAUAGUUCAAUUAUGACUGUAAGAGUGGAAUUCUUCUGGGAUUGUUUAUAGUUCAAUUAUGACUUUAGUAAGCUAUGUUGGUUGGUGUUAAAGCCCUUAGUUAGGAGAUUGGAAGUAGUAAAGCAGUGCUUGUGGGGUUAGACUUGCCCUCUGCUCUGAGAUGGCGAUAAUUGUGGAGUUUAGUAAAGGCAUGUGGCGAUAAUUGUGGAGUUUAGUAAAGGCAUGGCUUAAGCUAACUCGAUUCGGUCUCGGUAUUUGAAUUAGGUAAAAGAAAGAGGAAUAGGAUCUCUAAAAGAAAGAGGAAGAGGAUCUCAUCGUUAAUAUGUAUCGGUAAAGCUUCUCGACCCCUACAAUGGAUGUCAUCGCUAACAAGCUAUCUGGAUACCUAAAUAUGUAAACCAAUCAGAACCAUACCCACGAGAGUACAGUUCAAUGAUUUGAAUCACUUUAGGGUCGCUAGUGUCCUUUGUCUUCUUUCAAAGAGCAGAUACGAGUACUCAAGCAGCGGCUUGCAAGACUAACAGGGGCAAGAGCCAGUGAUGGCCUAUUUUCCUUUAUCUCUACGCCGAACUGAAGCCUAGUAGGACUUAACUACCUUGAUCUGAAUCUCAGGAACUCAAAUAAUACCAAGGCAAGUCCACUCUCAAUUAAGCAUAAGCUUGGGAUCUUUCUUUCUUUUAAGAAAGCAUUUCCCUUGAAGCCAGGUCUUUCUUCUCUUUUCGGAGCUGGACUUAUUCUUCCUGGUCUUUCUUCUCUUUUCGGAGCUGGACUUAUUCUUCCUGACUGACUCGAUUCACAGUUUCUUCACACUAAGCCGGAGCCAACCCAGGGUGAGAGAGAUAGUAGAGUAGGGACGGGGAAGCAAUGUCACCAAUGGAACUAGCUAUCUGGGAUCUGUUAAUAAAAAGAUAGAGAUGCUCUUCUAGCGGUCCAAGAGCUUCUUCCUUCCUUGAGCUGGCAAUGACUUUAUUCUACCCUGAAAUCGUAGUCAGCCGGUAUAAAGACAUUCAUAUAUUCCCCAGGCACGGGAUAAAGGGAAAGAUAGAGCCGAGAGCCGGGAACGCAAGAAACUUCAUUUCUCUCGAGCGGGAAUCUUCUGAUUUAUAAUACUACCGAGACUACCAAAGCAAAUGCGACUUCUUUCCCCUCUGCUGCAACUGAAAGAUCAAAGACCGAUGACCUUAUUUCCUUCACUCAAUAACAGAACUAAAGGAAUGGAAAGAAAGAUGAACAAACGAAACAACGAAUUUCUCCGGUUUGCCAAUAAUUGCAUUUGAUAAUUGCUCAUAGGUUCAAUUGCCGGGCAAGGUAAAGUGAUGUUUAUUCAUAAGAAUUCUUAGACUCUUGGGGCAAUUUCCGUUCGUAGUUUCCUAGAAGCAAAAUUCUAUAAAGUGACCGGCUCUCGGUUAUCAACAUUUGGAACUACAGGGUUAGCCGGGUUAUCCACAUUCGUCAGGGGUUUACUAAUUGAUCGUUCGGUUAGUUGGUCGGAGAUCCCUUUUCACAAUGUUUGAAUUGUCUCGAGAAGAAUGAGUUGGUUAUCCAGUUCCGGCUUGCGGAUUGAGCUACGUUUGUUUCUUUUAUGAAGCGAGCAGGGAAGCGAAAGGUUUAGAGGAAGCAGCGAGCAGGGAAGCGAAAGGUUUAGAGGAAGCAAAGGGCGGGUGUCCACUUGCUUAGUCGGAAGUGUUUCAACCCAAUAGCAUGGGGUUACUUGGGCUUCAACAUAUGAUUUAUCUGGACGAGGCACAUCUUGGUAGAUGGUGGUGGAGGUUUCUCAAUGAAUCUCAACGCCUCUGAAUCUCAAUCUUCAAGGAGAAAGAAGGGUUGGUUGUCGGGUAACAUUUUUCUACUUGGGGUUUAUGGGCAGCUGGGUCUAACCUUAGGAGGGCAGUUUCUUAAAGGUUUCUAAAGAAGGUUAGGUGGUGGGUGAUGGGAAGUCUACCUUAUUCUGGCUGGACUUAUGGAGCGGCACAACUAGCAACCCGUUUCGCCAACCAGAGGUCCGAUGACCCAACCCCUUCCUUCUACGCUGUGCUGGGCGGUCCCCAAGACUUACUCUGAAUGGCAGGUUUCUCAAUGCGGGAUGUAACUGAUAGGAUGGGUUGGACGGCCUCUUCUCCUUCAGCUCUAUGAGAGAUGGCAGGAUAACGAGCGAAUCUAUCCGCUUGGGAUGGGCAGCUUAGCCAGCUCCAACAAAUGAUGGACCAAGUGAGGGAAGGCUUUCUACCUCGGGCCCUCUCCAGCCUGGGGUGGGUUUAUUACACGAACAGAAAAGGGAUGAAUCCAAGCAAGCAGGAUACAAACCUUGGAAUCCUGAGACUACUCGACGGGCAGGUGCAAUGGAAAGCGAAAGCGGCUCUGCUUAGAAAAAAGCAUUUCCCUUUAUCCUACUUCGGAAAUAGAAGAAUCCAAAGUCGGUUAAGGUGCUCUUACACCAACUGACAGAGAAAUAAAGGCAUUGCCACUUAGUAACAUGACUCCUUUACGUACGGAAUUCCCUACAAGACUCCCAAGAAUGGCAGCAAUACUUACGGAAUAGCAAUAGCAAGCAAUAAACAAGAAAUAAUAAAGAACAUAAAAAGAAGGCUGGACUGGACUGACUCGUUCUAGCGGAUAUGUCUUUGUCGCAGCCAGCGGAAGAUGUAUUCCUUAUAUUAGACUAUGACUAUCGGGAUUGUUACCAUCCUAUGAGAUUGGACGAUAGGGAUUUGUCCCAGCACUCUCACAGGCCAACUCGGAAAAAGCUUUAAGAUAGGCAACGUAGCGGGCAGCCUCAAACGAGAAACCAGUCCAAUCUAUUACAUACGAUCACUGAUCGAAUCGGGAAUCGGGGCCUUCUCAUACUCCUCCAAGUCAGCAACGGGCACAUAGGGUCAAAGUUUCAUAGUCAUUAGUUGGAACCCCCUUCUCUGUACACACCUAUAUGGCAGACUGCAAGCACAGAAGCUAAGGGAACGAUUGAUUUUAGGGGGUUGAUCAGAUUGCCCGAGUUGCCAGAGGUUAAGAAGCUGCUUUCUUUCAUUCGACAAUAGGAAGCAUCGCUUCUUUCAUUCGACAAUAGGAAGCAUCGCUUCUUUCAUUCGACAAUAGGAAGCAUCGGGGAGGAUGGAACGGAACUCUACUUUACAUAAGCUAUUUAGAGCGAUCCCCGUAGAUUAGAUACAACAGGGAAAUUGCAAGGAAAGAGCUGUACUUUGUUUGCUACAGACAUACGAGCUUGACUUUACUACAGACAUACGAGCUUGACUUGACUACAGACAUACCAGGGAGACUCUUACUUACUACUAGCUACUCUUACUUACUACUAGCUGUAUGGAUACCGUAGGCCUCACAUUCUAUUAGGGCAGGUCUAAAGUCACUCUAAAGAAAGGAGAGGAAGGGACCGAUACUACAAUAAUAAAUGGACUGCUCGGCGCAUUGAUUGUUUAUCCCUGGGAAUCCAAGAGAGUAACAAAAGAAAUCAAGUCUAUGAUAAGAACAAGAUUUUGGUAGAUACUAAACCUCUAAGGAUGUAUAAAUCGGAUUGGUAUUCAAAGGGAUGCUAGUGAGUAAGAAAAAGUCGUAUUUAUAUAGACCAAUAGAUUAAGUGGGGACUGUGUGAUGAGAGCUUUAAAGAAAGCCAGUCGUGGUAGAUAGGUAGGAUUGAACCCUUUUCUUUCGUUAGCGAAUUUCCUUCUUCGAUUUGUUCUUGCCAUUGAGAAUAUAAAACAAGUGUUUGAAACCAUUAAGUCAGAGUACUUCACACUUUUCUUCAUUCCAGCUUGAGUCCUCUUUUCCUUUUCCUGUUAACGUUUCCAGUAGCUCGGUUCAAGAAGUAUGGAAAGAUUUCUUUCUGUGAGGUCAUAUCAUAUAUGAAUUGGAAUAAGCAUAAAGAAGAAAAGCACCUUACUGGAUCUAGCACUUAUUACUUGCUUGCUCACCAGGACAGGGUCAUUCGCGGGUGCGUUUUUGGGCUUACAGGAUUAGUUGCUUCAAAUGGAACUACAGGCUAUCCUUUUCCUUACUAAUACAGCGGGACUCCAGAUUCUCACUUGCUUGCUGGGCACAGGUAACUUCCUGACUUUGGAUUCUUUCUGGAGUAAGGGGAGUCUGCCGCUCAUACAACCAAUUGGGCUAGAUCGAGCAUGCGACGCGAGCGGGUCCUCUUCACCAUUUGGCUUUUAUAGCGGGGCCUUCUACCCGAUAUGAGAUAGGUUGCUGCUAUAGUAGGAAUUCCAAACUGUUACCACUCGUCAUGCCUCCAUCGUCUUAUAGUACUUGCUAACAAAGAACAUGAACAUUUGCUUUAUGGAUACAUUUUCUUCCCAUCUUCCAAGAAAAUCAAAGCCGCUUUUGGGUACAUUGAUCCAAAAGUAUCUCACGACGAUUUAUAGCGAGCGAUACCUUAACUUACAAGCCGGCUUAAAGGUAGGUGCCUUCUCAGCUACUUAUGUAAUCUCAUCCUAUGUUAUGUAUGAGGUGAUUGAUCCAUAUGGUUCUAUCCCAAGGUUCAACAAGUUAUUAGCUAUGAUAGGGUCUUUUAGAGUGGGAAAGCGUUUUUUGCCUCUCUCAUAGCACCACACGAGUACUCCUAUUCUGUCCAGGCAGCAGAACAACGUGAGAUCAAAGGUAAGCAGGAAGAACGGCGGAGCCAGAAACCUACCCGCUUCUUUUCUGCUAUAGGAAAGCCUCCAUCAUCAUAUUAUUCAUUCAUGUUCGAUUCUUCAAGACGUUAUUUUAUUGGGUCUUGCAAUGGUGGCUCUGGGAGCAUAUCGAUGUUGGGCGUCCUCGUCGAGCAGAGGUUGAUCAUCGCGUCUUUCCGCGUUAAGACUAUGACUUUUGGAGACUAGGACUCGGGUUGAGUCGAAGUUGAUUAAGAGCUUUACCCACGGAGCAGUUAAGUGAGAAUUGGGAGCAUACCCCACAGGGCAGAAGUGGAUUGAAUGGGACAGUAAUUAAACAAACAAGCAAUGUCGAUCACAUCAUCGGUUAUGAGUCAAAGGACUAUCAUCGUCCUGAAAGAGCCAUUUGAUUAAAGAGGUCAGAGAAGUUAAGCGACACAAUAGUGGAUCAGAGAAGAUAAGUAGGGUCUGGUCUGUUCUUCCCCCUCAUCUGGAUGUUCAAAUCGGGAUUUCAUAAACCAACAGCCAUAUCCACUUGAACCCCAAUCCAACUACCGAAGCUUUUGGUGCUGCUAGAAAGCGUUCAACCGGCCAGCCAGAUCUAUUGAAUCAACAAGUGGACUCAAUCUCGCGAUCUUAAUCCAUCUAUCACGACCACCCCCAAUGAAACAUCCUGACUAUCCACGGUAAUACUAACUAUCCAUGGUGUAAUAUCCUUACCCCUUUAGAGAAGAACGACUCUCUACUAAAUGGCAUGAUGCCCAUAAAGCGCCCGCCGGUGGCUACUUAUGCCCGGACGUACUGCCCAGCCCAUAGAAAUCCAAGAGAUUACAUAUAUAAUAGAAUAGAACCGAACGAUUGAAGCGUAGAAUAUAACUGAACGAUUGAAGCGGGAAAGCUGGAAAUCCCCUAGAUCUUAUUUCUAUAAUAGAACCCGGUUAAAGCGCUGUUAUUCAAAAGUUGAUGAUUGCUGUGCUGCUUCACUUCAGUCUUUAGCAUCCUUUCCACUAUACGGAUUAGUCCUAACUGCGCUUAUGUAGCAUCUCUGAGAAAACAACCAAAUGUCUUGCUCUUGCCAUGCCAUUGUGAAUGUGCAGUUCCUUCUGCCCAUCCAGAAACCUAUAAAAGAGUGAAAGUUGAUAAUCCAUGCGUUAAGCCUUAAGUCCCAGUCAUGAAGAGGUAGGGUCGGAAAGAGAGUAGUCAAUUCCUUCCUAUAAAGACCCUAUUUCUGUAACAACUUGUAUUCGAUGCUAUUAUAUGUAACUUCACACAAACAACCUAUUUGAAAACAACUUAUUUCCAUCAAGCAAGGAAAGAAAAUGGGGGCAACACUGCCAUUUCCGCGGAUCACAGUACCUAGCAAUAUUCCUAUUCCUAACUGCUCCCCUUUUAGCGUAGGAACAAAAUGGGGUAAUUCCUUUUCGAUAGCACAAGUAUAGGUCUGGUGGGCAUAACUAAUACCUGCCAUCCAUACUCGGAUAAAGGAAAGGGAUCGGAAGGGCCUAUUUAUUCGUUGUCCGUGGGUAUCUUCUACUCCCCGAAAUAAGUUAGGACAGCAAAAUCCCCUCUCUCUCUCUUUAAGGCACCCUGCGGAUUAGUACUUGCUUGAGGUGGAUGCGGCUAGGACUUUUGGACAAAAGAUCAAGCAGGAUAUCUAAACCUUUGCGACGCCAUCUCUUAUGAAAGAGGUUAUUGGGGGAAUAUGAGAUGAGAAGUAGAAAGCGCCUAAGAUAGGAAAUGCUCUUGAAAGAUUCAUCCUACUCGUGUGCGUGGAUAGCUGAACUGUUCGAAGCCUUGUCCCGUAACAUUGGGGCUACGCUGCUAUUUCACGAGUUAAUCUCGCUAGGGCAAUAUGCAACUAAUAGGAAUCUCCUUACCCCAUUGUAUAAAUGGUAAAAAGGAAGUGAAAUGGCAGCAGUCCUAUCAUAUCAUAUCAUAUAAAAGAGAUAUAAAACAAGCAUGACUUAUUUCUUUAUCUUAUCUAUGAUGUUAUUUCUUUCUCGUUGCUAGGUCAGAGUAUUUCUUUAUCUUAUCUAUGAUGUUAUUUCUUUCUCGUUGCUAGGUAAGAGCUAGAAGCCGAAGGAGAGUAGAAGAAAGACGGUUCGACUGCGCCACCUGUGAGAAAUUGGCUAACCCCUCCAUAGGAGAUGAAAUUGGAAAGAAUAAGCACGAGAAGAAAAUCCGUCCUUGGCAACGAAGUGACAAUUCUGCUUAUCAAAGCGAGCAAGGGCUUGUUGCACGGUAAGAGAUAUAGGUUGAGUAAAGCCGAGAAAGAAUCUCAAGAUGGGUUUCGGAAAGUGGAUAGCACUGCUCCAUGGCAAUCAUACUGUGAUUCAUUACCUUAUUUAUUGAUUGAGCGAGGCAUGUUAGCUCUAGGAUGGCUAGAUCACAAGGAAAUUCAGUAGGCUCGGGACUAUUUUCAGGAAGAGUUCUGUCACUGAUGCUAAUAAACCGACUCGCCAGGCGCUAAGGCUGAAGUCAACUUGGAAAAGUCUUCGUUCUUAUCUAUGAAUGCAAAGACCCCGGUCGAAAACAGAUGAAACGUGUUUGUUUCGAUCAGAGAAAUAGACUUAACGUAACUCACAUUCGUUCAUGAUAGGAAGCUAGGUCUCAAUCCAACACAACACUUCCGGGUCUCAAUCAAUCACAUACAUGGAGUCGGACCUAAAGCUUUUACUGUUGAAUCAGUCCGCUCUUCCCUAGAUGGGUUCUUUCGCCUACUCUGCAACCAAUCUUUCUUGCCUAACUAUUUCCCUUUCACUAGUUACAGGAACUACUUACUUAAUGUAGUUAGAAAGCUGUAUGCUAUCUUACGCUAUAACCUCUUCCUACUUAUGAAAUUACUGACUUUCACACCGAUUUAUGUCUAUCCUUUAGCUUGAACCACUACCUGAAGUUCGCUACUGACGUACUUACUCUAUUUACUGGGUCGUGAGCUAAUACCUUGCUAUUAUAAGUUUCUCACUGACUCUUCUUUUUGAUUGAGGAGUAGUAGAAAGGGAAUCCUUAUAUUCUUGGCUCACUCUUUCUCUUUUCCUGUCUUUCUUUGUGAGCUACUUAUAGUUAUGGAUAGCACUUAUCAAUGGACACUUUCAAUUCAUUAUUUCUCUGAAUACUUUUAUAUAUGCAAUUUAUGGCGUUGUUAGGCUGGAGUAAGAGCCAAGAAAAGAAUCAAUCGAAAGCUAGAACAGAAAGCCUUUCCACGAAUAAGAUAAAGGCUAUGGUAAGAGUAAGACAACUGCAAGCACCCUUGCUAGGCCAGACGACUUAAACACAGCGGUCUGAUUCCGAACCCCUGUAAAAUAGAAUAGGGCAACUGCAUGGGACAAAAGAAAAGGAAAGCUAGAAGGGAUGAAAUGACUCGGAGGCGAGGAUCGACAUCAAAAGCUUCUCGGACGGAAACUCUAGCAGGAACUGGCCUUAGGACGAUGGCAGAAGUCGGGAUGGCUGGGAAUAAUCAUAAGAUAACAGAAGCAUAAGAUAACAGAAGUCGGGAUGGCUGGGAAUAAUCAUAACAUAAGAUAAUAUACAUAUCUGGGAAUAAUAAUAAGAUAAUAUAGAUUCAAAGACGUAUCACAAGCUUGGUGAAACAGCCUCUCUCAAAGCAGCUAUAUUGGAAUCCUAUGCUUCUCUGCUAUAUUGGAAUCCAUCUUAUGCUUCUCUUAAAGCAGCAGUCUGUCUUAUCAUCCUCUGAUGGCAGCUUAUGAGAUACUGCACCUACCUCGUUGGUCAAGUAUUCACGCUUCCGUUCUAUUCUUGUGCUGGUUGGUCUUCAAACGCUUGGUAGGAAUAAAGCAAAUAAAGAGUUAGCGAGAAGAGUUUCAACCUCUCUUACAUCCACCAAGCCAUUACAUUAUGAAUUUUCGCAAGCCAGUGUAUAACAUGGGCUGCUGGACAGAGUGCUUCCCUAUAAGAUCUCUUUGAGACUGAAUGCUUUGGGGUUUCCUUUCAAAAGAAAGACAGAUCGGGAAAUUGCUAAAGGUUAACACUCCACUUGCUUUUGUUUUUGCUAUAUAGUUACAUCAGGCUUACUUAGCUACCCCUGAUUCUAUUAGACUGACUUAGCUACCCAUUAUUCUCUGACUUAUACUUAGCUUUGGAACCAAUUAAUUCUCUCAUCCAUUAGACCCCUUACAUAGUUUAAACAGUACGUAUUUAGUAUGUAGGGAAAGGAAGCAUUUCCGUAGGGCAGAUAACAUUAGACCCCUUUGGAGUUUAACCAGAUUGGAUUAUUUAACGGACAAGCGUCGGGCCAUAAAUCCAAGAAUAGAACCGAUGCCAAUAGGACUUGUUCUCAUAUAACUAGGAAAUCGACUACCGAUAGCAAGAACUCAACUCUCAACUCGGAAUCAAGAAACUGAGGGAAGACCUUACAAGCGCAAUAAAGAAUCGAAGUAGUACGUAAAAGAAUACAACUCAAUAGUGCGAGGAUCACUCUGUUACCCUAACACACUCAUCAAUCGGAGUUAAUGAACAUUGAACUGAUUACAAACAGGCUAAGCUAACUGGAACUAAUACCUUAUCUUCUUCCAAUGAAUUGAACUGGCGCUAACAGGACUUAUGCCCUCAACUAAGACUUCCUUUACCGCCCUUGCACCUUGCUUCGCUGUGUCCUUGCCUUUGUCCACUUGCUCUCAAACUUACACUGCCUUAUCUCAUUCUGUAGGUCCGCUACACUUCUCUGGCUCUCGAACGGGGAGUACAGCUAACAGGACUUUAGAUACUAACCAUAAGAAUGGGACUGCUACUGAAAAGAAGCAAACACAUAACUCUGGCUUUCACUACUGAACCCAACUCUUGCUUAUUGCCCUAUUAGCCUGUCGUUGCUUUUCAUUCUGGAACACCCUAGUCUAAUACUAUGCCUUAUUAUAAUGAAUUUACCUAUAGAAUACUAGAAUCCAAUUUCUUAAUGAAACGAAAGAACAAGCAAAUGCUGGAGUUUUUGAAGAAACAAACAAGGCUUUGUCAUUAAAGGAAGCAGUAAGCAGUGAGUUUAGGGGCUAUGGGCUAAUGACUGAAACAGGCAAACAACUUACUUGAGUUUUCGGGGAACAAGCUUAUCGUGUUCAGAGAGGUGGUGUGUAUUAUGAGUUUGUUUUGAAGCAAGUGAUAGAAUUCCAGAAGCAACGAAAUAAGUAAUGAAUGGCAUAAGACAUUGUGUUAACGUAGAGUUCUGGGUGCCCGCCUAUCCUCCUUUAUUGCUGAAAAAAGCUUUGUAGAGCCAAGCAGUAAUAAGUGAGUUUUUCAACAAUGCUCUGUUCGGUUAUCUUAAUAUAUCAGUUGUGCAAGAGAGAUAAAUGAAUGGAUUAUUAUUAUAGAUCUGAGAUCCUUUCUCCAAAUCCUCUUUACUAUGAUAUGAGCAUGAGAUGCAAUUGAAUUGGUUGACUUCACAAAGUCUCAACUCCGCCUUGCCUUGUGUUUCAUGCGAUAGCAGUCAAAAGUAAGGUAUAAUAAUCUUUCUCACCCGCCGGGCCUUCUAGUAAUUCGCUAAAAGAACUCCAAAGCCCCGAAAGAAGAGAAUGGAGCGAGGCCUAAGAGAAUGUGAGUUUGUCGGCCGGCGCAAGACAAGAGAUGGAUUCCUGUACGUACUGUUUUCGCAAGACAAGAGAUGGAUUCCUGUACGUACUGUUUUCCUGGGCGCGCUAGGAGUUUCUAGGUAAAUUCAUGAAUAUAUUGUAUGCGCAAGAGAGAUAGAGAUGGAUUCCAUUCUCUUUCUUGUUAUGGAUAGUUUCCAGAGAUCAAAUCCUAUAUAUAUGUCCUCGAAAAGCAAAGCAAUCUUCUGCGCUGGGAAAGAUCUGAAGCUAUAAGGAUAUCGCUACGUGGGCUUCCAUCUACAAUGACAGCACAAUUCUUUCUGCUUAACAAUCAAUCAAGUAUGGAGCGGGUGCUUACGUCAUAAAUCCAAAAUGAUGUAAGAAAUCCUAAAUGAUGUAUUUGUUGGAGAGAUAUGAAAAUGAGAAACUUCAAGUCGAGGCGAGGUAUACUUCAGUAUAGAGGGAUUCUGGUGUUGUUAGUUCAACAAGUAGAGCUAGGUCUUGGGACUUCAAAGUUGCAUCCCGAGGACUUCAUAUUUGACUCGAGACCUGACAUUGAAGAAUGGAAUCUAGAUGGUUAUUAUAGUAUAGAAAGAAGUCCGUACCGUAACCUGACAGUGAAGCUUUAGCACUUAUUGUAUUGAAUGAAAGUAAGCAUUAAUAAGCUGUAGAAAUGGAGUAUAAGUUGAAGGAGCUUAAGGUUAUACUUCAUAUUUCGGUUCAGAAAGCAGAGUUCGAGCUCAGGGGUAUCUCUCUGUCUGUGUUGGGUAAGUUAAGGGGUAUCUCUCUGUCUGUGUUGGGUAAGUUCCCUUCGAGCAAGGAUCUCAGUUAAGGGAAAAACAGUGUAAAAGUCGUAAAUUGAAGCACGUCAUGGUCCAGUCCAAGCAUCAAAGUUCAGUAGUUGGAGGGGUUCAAAGGCUUCUGACGGCGAGUACUAAGUGGAGAGUAGAGAGGUUCGGGUGCUAGCGUUAAAGAUUCUUCUUUCAAGUAAAUGAGUUCAAUUGUCAGCUGCAAAUCCAAAUGAAAGUCUACAUCGACAACAGAAAUGAAUGCAAAGGCUGCAAGUAAGCGGGAAAGAAAUCAAGUAAGGGCUUCGUUCAUGAGUGUAAUCAUAUGUUGAAGCCGAAUACACCUUUGAGAAUGAAUGCUCACCGGAAUGCUUGGCGCUUGUCAGGUCAUCUGCUAUUCUGAACUUCCUAGAAAUGAUAGAAUGAUCAUAUAGGGUGGAGCCAUACAUAUAACUUGGUAAUCCGUAGCAGGAGUCGGAAAGUCUCUCGCUCGGGCUAAAGUCAGCUGCAAGCGCAAAGGAAAGUCAAGGUGGUCGAGCACUGUAAGCGAGUUCAGUUAUUGGUUUCAAGUCUGCAAUAAAUGAAGCAGUUCUCAAGUCAGCUACAAGCGUGAAAGGUUUCGUUUAGAGUCUUUGUCGUGGAAAGAGAUGAGCUUACUAUUUCGGUUCAUCAAGUUUCGUUCUUGUAUCUAAGUCGACUAUAUCAGUUAUUGGCUACGCGGGGUAAGCGGUGAUUAACUUGAAGUUUCGGUUAAGGUUAGUUCGGCUAAAGUCCAAGUUUCAAAAGCAUUCUUUUCCCUCGGAUCAAGACGUGGUGCGCGAACGGGAGUUGUUGACAAUGAAAGUUCCCUACUUAAAGUAGAGUCAAAUCCACCAGUCAAACAAAACUCGGAAUUGUACUUACCCGCUUCAGAUCUUUAUACGGCCACUGAUCCAACAGAUGAUGAUUCUUCUCGUAACUUAACUUAUUCGUCUCCUGCAACAGAUCUGGAUAAGGCUUCUAAUCCUGUUUCCGCUUCUGCUUUAGCUGAUUCUUCUUAGUAAUAGUACGAUUCCACUCUCUAUACUAGAGCCCCCAUCUUUCUUCAAUUCUUCAAUGAAACAAACCGGAUCUUGAUCCAUCUUCUUUACCAGCUUCCUCUGUUACUCUUGAUCUAUCUGAUGAUCCUGCUCUACCUAACCCGGAAACCAGAAGUUCUUUACUUGUUACGAAGGGAAGCAGUGGGAGUAGAAUUCAUGGGUUUUGGCAAUUCCGGUAGUUUCGUUCGGGUCAAGCCAAGUGAUAGGGCAGGAGGUGCAAGCCAAGUUCAAAGAACUAUAGGAGCAAAGCCAAGUUCAAGGGAGCAGCGAGGGUAAAGUCAACAGUCAGUUUAGGAGUGUAGCACCGGAGACAAAGUCAAUGCAAGCGGUUCUUCAAGUUCCAUUUCCUUUCUGGUUCUUGUUUUGUCAUAUAUAGAAGCCGAGACAGAAUGCUUAGGCAAAAGUGCUGUAGCAAGCAGGUAAUCUGAAAGUGGAACAAACAACUGGCUUUCACACUCGAUUGAGAGUUCCGGGCAGAAUUAUGUAAAGGCUUUGAUGCCCUAAAGGGAGCUAGGAGAAUAGAGAAAGAAGGGAGCUAAGCUAGUGUAAUAGAGAAAGAAGGGAGCUAGGCUAGGAGAAUAGAGAAAGAAGGGAGCUAGUGUAAUAGAGAAGGGAGCGGCUGCCCCGGAUAAGCUAAACGAGUAUUCUAACGAGCCCUGCUGCACUGCUAUUGUCUGGUAGGGGAAGCAAAGGGCUAACAUAUGUACGUACGAGUUAAGUUACUCCUUUCUAUAAUAGUAAUAUAGUUGCACUAAAUAAAACAAGCGAGUUUAGGUUUAGUUCGCCGGGGUGCUAAGGGGUACGGUGCCUCUAUUCGUGAUUAAGGCAAACAGUGAGUACCGUAUAUUAGUAGUAAUGUUAUGCUCUUAUCUCAAUGUAAGUGCAAAUGAUUUUCAACAAAAGUAACAGAGUGAGUAACGCUAGCAAAAAGCCGUAUCGCACAACAGAACAAUAAAGAAUAGGAAGAGCAAAGCAGUGAGUCGGAGCGGUUUCAAUGGCAUUCAUAACUUCAAGGAGAGGCUCUUAUUGUAAGUUCGCUAAGCAAGAAAGAUUACUGUUUGGUUUGACUGAACACGAAGACUCAACUGGCCCAGGCCCAACAAGAGUAAGUGCGCUAACAGGAGUUUUUUACAGUUCCGUUUAUAGGUAAAUAGGAGAAUAAGCAAGAUCAUAACCUAGAUAAUCUACAGGAACAAGCCGAUAACGAUCAGAUUCCAAAGAAAGGGAUUCAGUACGGGUGAAGUCUCCGAGAUCAGAAAGGUUUUUAGUGUAUUUACUUAGAUCUAUACAAAGUGUUCGAGAAGAGAGGCAGAGUUGAGAGAACAAGCCAGGGGUCUAUUGGAGGUAGUUGACAGAGCCUAGCCUGUAGUUGGUGAGUUUCAUCCGAAAUGUAAUCCUAUAGAAAGAUCCAUAAUAUGAGAAAGUUCUUUUACAAGUCUAGGUUUUGGUGAACCAACCCAGUACUCUUUCACCCCAUUAAUUAAGGGCACAGGACAAUUCAGUUAGAUGAGAUGGAAAGGUAUUGAUGCCUACCUAUUGCAUGAUCAACUGCUGAAGUCAAGUAUCCGAAGAAGCAACUAAGAAUAAUUUCAUUCCUUCCCAUAUAGAAGCAGUGCUAAAGAAGCAAGUAAGAAGGGCAAGACUCCUUAAGAUGUGACCAAUACCCGAGGCCCCAUAUGACCAGUAAGAUAGAAUCCAAUCCGGUAACUAACCAAACCCAGUACUUGACUUCUUUCUUGACUUCAACUUAUGCUCUUUGAACAAGGGCGAAAUUCUUCUUAGUAGUUCAUUCCUCCUGACUGAGAGGGGCAAGCAGUAAGGAGUGAGGUUAAAGCAUCAUAGUCGAGGUGGGCAAGGUUUACAAUAAGUCCUUUGUUCAGCAAGCGGGUAUCUCGGGCUAAAGUCAGCUACCGGGCUAUUCAAUUAGUAGGCGUCAAUGCACUAUAACAUCACUUCUGGGGUUUGAUGGUCAAUCACAUUAAAAACAGAUAUGGAUUAGAAAUAAUGCAUUUCAAUCCUAUAAAACAUGGGCAAGAGAACCAGUGGAAUUCUUUUUCUUUCUUGUUUCAUUCUACUUAUACUAAUACUUAGAAGCGGUCUUCUACUCUGCAACUAAGAAGAAGGGAGAAGAAUAAUCAUAAGGGAUAAGAAGAGGAUUGAGCUAUGAAGUCAUUGAUACCUGUAUUAUAUAUAACUCCUAACUCGAAACUCCUAAUACUUUCUUUUAAAUACUAUAACUCCGGUGCCAGUUUUCUUCUUUAAUGCCGGUUUCAUCCCCGCCAAGUAACUACUAGACAAGACACUGCUUCUUUUAUCGUAGACAACACUAGAACUUCACCUUUGUAGUGGGCAUGAGAUUAGAGCUAGAUGAGAUGAGGCUGAAAGUGCAACUUAUUCUCGGCUUCUGGUACUCUCCUUUCUACUUCAACUGAUCCUGAUCCAGCUUAUUCGACUGCAUCCGCUGACUCGUCACUUUCAGAAUUGACUGAACUUGUUGCUCCUGACUCCACUAAUACGGAUACUGAUGUUUCGAGUGCCAAUGGAGCUCCCCCGGAUCUUGCUGCCUCACCGGAUACGGCGGAUUCUCUAUACGCCAACUAAGGUCAAUCAAGCCAAUCUGCUUCCUUUACACCAAAGCAAACUGCGGAUUCUAUCAACUCUCCGGAAACUGGAAUGGAAUCUAUUGGCGAGUCCACAAAUAAAUCAUCUCUCUCGGCAAGAACCUAUAUUGGUGAUUCCAUUGAGAAAGCUUCUGCACUUGCUUAUGGAGUUAAGGGGCGGGGUGCUUAUUCCAUUGAUUCUCACUUUCCGGGAGGUAAUACUAACUCUGGCUUGGGAACCUGCGAUUCUCUUACGCCCCACUUCCUCAAAUUAUGAUAUAUAUAACCAUUAUUCUAUGACUUAGCUUUUGCACCAAUGAUUCUCAUUCCUAAAGUAGCACUACAACUUCUGAAAGUAACAUAGCUCGUUAUUAAGGUAGCAUCACCUAUUCUGUGAGUGGUAAUUCACUCGUUCUGUGAGCGUAACAUUAACUCAUUUAUUUUCAUAUGUUGUGUUGCGCGUCCUCAGUCUGUUAGCGGCUAUUCCCUCCCUCGGUCUUCGGGCGAAACAUCGAAUGUCAUCGAGUGUCUUCGCUCAUUCACCCAUGCUUAGAAGGUACAUUGCACAUGCUUAGAAGGUCCAUUGCUUUCCCUUUUGAUGCUUAUAACAGUCAGUUCGAUUAUGUCUCCCCGUCCUGGGUCCCUAACGAGAAAAGGCUUAUGCAGAGUAUGGUUUAGAAGAAAGCAAAGUGGUAUAAGUUUUCAACAAGGGGAUAGGGAAGUGCAAUAAGCUAUACGGAACGAAACCACCCAACUAUAUUCUGGUUUGUAUUAAUAGAAAUGUAUUAAUAGAAAAACCACCACUAUACUCUCUUUGGACAGCGCCGAUGCUAUUCUUGCUUUUGUUUGGCAGUGCUUCUUAUAAGAUAGUUUACUCAGUGCCAAUUCUAUUACUGAGCUCUGGAAUCUAUAGCACGACCUACUAUAUAAUAAUAAUAUAAUAAAUGCUAACUAUCAAGUAAGAAUCAACUAAUACUAUUGGAAUGGAACUGGGAAUUAAGACACCUAUAACGAAUGAAACGAGUACUAAUAGGAAUGAAACAAUCAAUACGGGCUUAAGGAAUGAGCUCGACAAGCAACGGACCAAGCUUAGUUUAGUAUAGACAAGCAACGGCAACUAUAAGAAUAGAACUUCUACAGAUGAUACUUUAACAGCUUACCAACAGGGCUUAUGCUCAACACUAGGGCUUUUCACUGGAAAUGUAGGUUAAUAACAGGCUCGAACUGGCGACUACCUUACUUUUACUCAUAACUCGGGCUACAACUCAUAACUAAGGCCCCGGCUACAGCUUCUUUAAACUCAGGCUUCGGCUACAGCUUUUAGAGCUCAGCUCUUUAACUCAGAAGUAAGGCUGGCACUGCCUACUAAAAGCAUUAACUCAACACUCAUUCUUAUACUCCUUGCAAAAGUCUGCCUCUGUGGGCGCAUACUCUACCUUCUACUCUUAAAGUGGAGUGUAAGCCUUCUAAUUGCAAGUUUCAAACUGGCUGGCUCCUGUCCUGCGUGGACCAAAUCCGUAUUCUAUUUGGUCGCUUCAGUCCUGCUUGUUGGUUUUAUAGCCUCCCUCCUUUGGGUACCCAACUAAGAUGGGGCAGAAUGAACUCAACAGUCAAAGAACUCAACACAGUAGUAAUGAGCACCAAGCGCAUGGGGUCAGAAGUCAACUCAUUAGUCUCAGUGGCUUUUUCCUCUACUUUGGAACUCAGACUUUCACUCAUAAGUCGAAAUGGAACUAGUGCUUCUAAUAUGAUAACUUUGAACUGGGCUCUAAACUACUCCUUUUGCCGGGUCUGCUCUUCAUUCUCAUACUAGAACCUUGCUUUCUCACUUAUCAGUCACCAAGCAACUACUAAUGACCAAGCCACUACUAACCAAACAACGGCGCAAGACGUUGAGCGGUAGCAAUAGUAAUAGAUAUAACAAAGUUAUUACAAUAGAUGUGUUCUGGGCGGUAGGAGGAAGUGAGCUAAACGUUAGCGAGUCCGGGGCCUGACUAGUCCAAUUCUCACUUUGGUAACACCUACUUCUAUUCUAACUGCUGUCAUUGUACUAGAGCAUCGGAGACUCGGGGGGAAUGUAGCUGCUUCUUUAAGGCUUCUACUUACUAGUUGGAUUCUGAGUCUUAUACUAGAUGCUUACUACUAGCAGCGGAGGCCCAGGACUACUAGACUUAACGAGCACCUCCAACUGGUAUGAAACAAAUUCCACUUCACGAAACCCGUGUUUUUGGGUAGCAACCCUGUUUUCGCUAAUAGACCCAUGAAAAAGAGAUAGAAUUUCAUGAAAACCCGUUAAACAACACUGCCGCGUAACAUUCUGUUCCUUGGCGGGUAGCAUUGGAGUUUUCCUUCCUGAGUGCCCAGAUUGAAAUGGCCAAGACACUCGGAGACAACUACAAUAAGAAACAACAUAAGGUAUAUUUAUGAUGAGCUAUGCCUUAAGAUGUGUUCAGGCGCGGCAGCCCAAUAAUAGUUAUAACGAAGUUAUUACAAUAGAUGUUUUCGUUGCGUUUUCCCGUGUUUUUUGGUUGUAAAUGGAUUUCCCUUCCUGAGGCACCUGAUGGAAAUUACAAUUUCACGUUUUCCCGGGAUUUUUCAUAGCAAAUAGAAUUUCCCUCCUGAGCCGGUCCAUUGAAAUGAGAUUUUUUACGAAACACGGUAAACAGCGCUGCCGCGUAACAUUAGCAGUUACUUGGCUCAUAGCAAAUGGGGAAAUAGUAUGGUACUUCACUUAGGCUUCCACUCGGUAUUCAACUAUAGUACCGACCUCGACUCACCAGACUUAAGAACCAACACCCUACUUUAGAACCAGAGCUGGGGCAGUACCACCAGGAGCUGUACUCAAGGGAGCAGUACUAAAGGGAUGGGAUGAAACUCUAACUCGACAAACAAGAACAGCCCCGAUUGCAGCUGGCUCUUCCAAACUAUCCCUAGCUACUUUCCUAGACUUAACUAACACAACACAAUAUCCUCUUGGGCUUCUUCUCCUGGAACUGUCACUGUAACAGGAAUAGGACAAAUACUAUAAUCAUAAGGGCCUUAUAGUAAUUUGGGAGCUACACUAAGAAUUCCACUAUCAACUCUAAACUCNNNNNNNNNNNNNNNNNNNNNNNNNNNNNNNNNNNNNNNNNNNNNNNNNNNNNNNNNNNNNNNNNNNNNNNNNNNNNNNNNNNNNNNNNNNNNNNNNNNNNNNNNNNNNNNNNNNNNNNNNNNNNNNNNNNNNNNNNNNNNNNNNNNNNNNNNNNNNNNNNNNNNNNNNNNNNNNNNNNNNNNNNNNNNNNNNNNNNNNNNNNNNNNNNNNNNNNNNNNNNNNNNNNNNNNNNNNNNNNNNNNNNNNNNNNNNNNNNNNNNNNNNNNNNNNNNNNNNNNNNNNNNNNNNNNNNNNNNNNNNNNNNNNNNNNNNNNNNNNNNNNNNNNNNNNNNNNNNNNNNNNNNNNNNNNNNNNNNNNNNNNNNNNNNNNNNNNNNNNNNNNNNNNNNNNNNNNNNNNNNNNNNNNNNNNNNNNNNNNNNNNNNNNNNNNNNNNNNNNNNNNNNNNNNNNNNNNNNNNNNNNNNNNNNNNNNNNNNNNNNNNNNNNNNNNNNNNNNNNNNNNNNNNNNNNNNNNNNNNNNNNNNNNNNNNNNNNNNNNNNNNNNNNNNNNNNNNNNNNNNNNNNNNNNNNNNNNNNNNNNNNNNNNNNNNNNNNNNNNNNNNNNNNNNNNNNNNNNNNNNNNNNNNNNNNNNNNNNNNNNNNNNNNNNNNNNNNNNNNNNNNNNNNNNNNNNNNNNNNNNNNNNCAAUCUAGUUUCCUUAAUAAAGAUAGAGAAAAUUAUCCACUCGCCAAGUCACUCCUAAUGUGUAGCGGCAGUGAGCUACCCCCUACUAUGUCUGUACUGAAUAGAUACAUAAGAAAUUGUAAGACUUUUCUUGAUUAUUUGUGAUUUGAGAAUUUGUGAUUGGAUUGUUUUGAUCAUUUCUUUGAUACUUGAAAAAAGGCUCCUCUCCUAUACUACUCCUCUGUAAACUAACCACUCCUACUUAAUAUAAGGGCAGCUAAAUCCAUUCCUUUCUCAAGAAUUCCACUAGCUACUCUUAACUACUGGCAAAUCAUGCAACAGGGGAUUACACUCUCACUGGAGCAGUACUCAAGGUCUUACACUCUAACUCACAACUAGGAGCUCUCAAUCCGGUCUUCAACUAGCCAAUAACCUACUACUCGGGAAAGCUAUCAAACUGGAAUGUCAAUUUACUUAGACACAAGCAACUCUGAUCCUUAUGAAAGACAAUCAUAUCAAUCAGAGCAUUCUCUACGGUAACCGGAUGACGAAAACCAGACUUGCUACAGGCAACGUACUCACGCCGACGACUGACGAAAACAGAAAUGGAAUUUCCAGAGAUAUAUAUAAGACUCAAUUCUCAUAGAUAUAUAUAAGAUCAUAUGGAAAUGGAAUUCUUCACAGAAGGGAUCGGUGUUUUAAAGAAGAUGGAUUUCUUAUUUGAUGCUUUACCAGUUUUACCAGCUUUACCUGCUUACAGCCUAUUACUUGUAGUACCUGCGGAAUAGGUUAUUUUCGAAAGGGAACCUUCUCAGAAAGAGUCAUUUCCUAACUUGUAGCUCGGUUUCCUUUGAAGUAAAGUUGGCAUGGCACGCACGAGUCUUCUUUAAUAUAAUGGCCCACUUUGGCUUUAGCCGGAUCUUCGGAGGCAGAAAAAGGUAACUGAGACUCUCUUUAGCAACUGUUGUGCUACUUCUUGAGUCUAUUCUUUCAUUUCUUUUUGUUCUAGCUUAGCUUUCCAAAUGAAACCUACACUCUCUACUCAUGUCAUGAAGCGCUUGUAAAGACUCCUUUGUCACUGGACAUGCACUAUUGAUUAAUUCUCACUACUAGUAGUAAUAAGAGUGUCUAUAUGGGAGUAAUAAGAGUGUCUAUAUGGAACCUUGAAAGGUGUAACAAUAAAUGGACCUAACUACUAGCUCAUAACUCUAAGGAAAGCAUAGUUAGGAACGGUUCACAAGAUGGAAACAAUGGGCCAAGCCCACAAGACACUCAAGCACAACAUAAAUAAGAAAAACAACAUAAAGUGUUUUGUUUGUUCUCUGACUUUCCAUUCCUACUAAGAGCACUGGGUUAGUUGCCCUAAUCUAUGAGACCCCUUUUCUCCGGCGAUACUAUACCCCUUUUAUCCGGCUCAUUCAUCUAUAUUCUUGUUUGCAAUGUAAAGGAAGAAGAGGCUCUUAGCACCUCGGUGCCGUGCCCUAAACAGAAGAGAGUUUCCUCAGUGCCCCCCCAGUUCUCCAUUCUGACUUGAUAGUUUCCUCAGUGCCAAUUCCUUUCUUAGUUUUUGUUGAGAGGUGACUUCUGACUUUAUUAUGAGAUUAUUCUAGCAGACGUCGAAUCUCUAUCUUACUACUCUUAUGACUUGACUCUUAUAUCUAUUAUUCUUGCAGACCUAGCUCAGCACUCUGGUUAUGACCUUCCAGUUGAAUACUUAUCAAGAGAACUAGGUUGCUUGGCGGUUGAUGCACUGGUUUCAUCCCUUGUUUGAUUCCGAUUGGUAUUGAUUGAAGCCUUAGCAACAGUAGUGUGAGACCUCAGCUACCCAACAUCAGCCCGUGACUCACUAGCGGCAGUCCGAGGAGCAGCAGCACCAGUCCAAUACUACCUUAGCAUCAGUCCAAUACCUAGCAGACACCGCAUCAGCCUGUAAUUACCUAGGCCAAUUCUUGUUAGCACUUGUUUAAGUUUGAUAGCUAGCAGAGAUAGACUGAUCUGAAAGGGAGUUAGCCCGGGAUCUUAGUGCUAAUCUGUAUAUUCCCAGUCCGAUGUAAGAUAUGACUCAUGAGUUUGAUACGGUGCCCACUAAGCCAACUUCUCUAUUUCGAGUUAAAGCAUGAAAAGCACUAGUAUAAGUUUUGAAGCGGUAAAGGUAAGACUCACUUCUUAACUCAUUAAUGUUGUUAGUAGCAGGCCUAUAGUUAAUAUAGGUUACUUAUUAAUAGUUCUAGUUUGUUUGCCAGCAGUUAUAGUUUGUUUGCCAGCAGUUCUGUUUGUUACUAGUUUCAAUCUUGCUAUCAGCAACUAAGGUCUUAAAAGAAAUAGUACAGGGCUAAGUUCCGAACCAGAGUCUUAUUGGUAGUUGUGAAAGAAUACAAGUCAGUAGUUACAGAAGAAUAUCUGAUAGUCAAAGACGUAGUAAGGUUGUUGUGGGCAAGUAGUAAGUCUUAGUUCCUAGUGUGAGUCUCGUUGUGCGCAGUUAGAUUCCCUAUUUUGUACUUGAUAGUUGAAGUUUACAGGGGCCCAUUAAAGGCUUAGUUCCGAGUUCUUUUCUUAUAGUAUGGUGUAGUGUUCAAUUCCUAGUUAGAAGUUCUCGUCUAUCAGAGUGGUAUUGCAUUCUAUCAGUACUAUUUAUAUUCUAAUAGAGUGGGGGAGGGCUCCUAGGCCCAAGUGUCAAAGUCAGUCCUAUUAUACACUGGUAAAUGCUUAUUGGUAGUGAUUUCAAUCCCGGUUAUGAACAAAUAAGGUCUUAUCGGAUACUAGUAAAUUCCCUAUUCCUGUAUUUCUUCUAAUAAGUAGUAUAGGUUGGUUCGAAUAAGUAGUAUAGGUUGGUGCUGGAGUGCCCAGUUUUAUUACACGCCCAGAGAGAGAGAGUCUUGCUGGACACUAGUGAAGUUUGAGAAGGCAUUAGUGAAGUCCGAGCGGGCAGUGGUUCAUCCCCUUUUGAUUAGUAAUUCCAUUCUGUUGAUUGACACUCUAAUUCUAUUAGGCCCCUUGCUCCGGUAUUAACUCAAUUGUUGUAAGGAGUAGCUCAAUCCCGAGUUCCCGGUUCGAUAUCUCUAGUUGUUAGUUAAAGUAGUAGUAGCACCAGUCCAAUUCUUAUCUACAGUAGUCAAAGUCUCUAUUCCAAGUUGAGUCUAUCAGGUAGUGGUCUCACUCCUGCCGGUAGUAACUAGAGUCUAAGAAGCACCCGGUUAGGUCUCAUGGUCCACCAAGUCAUUCUAUAUUCUAAGAUCAAGUCAUUCGAUUUAUUAGUUUGAUUCCCGAGCUCAAUUCUAAUAGGUAGCGAGUUUAGGGCUAGGGCCGCUACACUCUUUCGGCGCUUCUCAUACUGUCACACUACAUAACUUAGGCUUUCACUCCUACUAAUAAGGAUCCGACUAUACUUGCUUAAAACCUGACUUGCCCCUCUUAUACUACGACUAAUCAGAAUUGACCUAGUAAAAACAAGGGCAGCUUUAGCUGGCUGCCGAUUGCUUUAAGGGAUUUCACUACCAACUACUGUAGGUCUACCGAUACUGAUCUCAAAACUAUAUUUACUUGCUGCCAACUCGAACUAUCCUUCUGAAAAUACCCUACCGCUCCUAACUCUUGAAAUGGUUCCUACCAGACUGAAUGCGCACUUACGGAAUUAAGCAUGGAAUACAUGAUUUCACUCAACGGUAACAGGCUUCAACUUGAGAGCACCAGAAACGGAAUUUGCUGUAGAAGGAAUGGAUUCUUACACAGAACUCCUUGCUUACUUAAUUGAAUCUCUCGAGCAACUAACAGAAACUCACCGUCACCGGACUAAUGCACCCCGUAGAAGCUCAUUAACACGCAAGUAACAGAAUGAAUGAAAUCCUUCUAGCUAAAGAGAAAGUAUAGAAUGUGUUUGUAAUAUUGCCCCUACUACUCUAUACAAUACUUGCUUGUUUGAUUAAAUGAAUGAGCCGAUCUAUACCUAAAGUCAAUUAUGGACUUCCCUUGACCCUGGAUUGAGAAUAUUAAUUAGCCCUUUAUAGUAGUAUUAUUGAUUUACCUUGACCCUCGAUGUAUAAGAUUAAUGAACCGAACCGAACGAUAGAAACCAUCUUUCUUUAUUGACAACUCUAUUGCUAUAGUCCCCGUUCUUUAUACCCUUCGGAUUUCCUGAUGAGAUUCAUUCUCCUAGUUUGGAAUAUGGGAUUGGUGGCCUUGCCUUUCCCUUGUUUAAAAAGAGCUUUCAUAGGAUACACAUGGAAUUGAAAGAGAGCAACCGUACUUUUGCUUAUACUGGAGACGCACCCGAACCCUUCACUAUCGGAAUAGGACAUCCUACUUACUGCUUUAUGGGACUAGCAGCUUUACUACUCUUUCUUUUGACUCGGGAAAAAGCCUUUCACUCAUACUCUUAUAACGCGAGAGAACGAUCUGAAGCCGGCUGGCUCGGCCUAUAUUAAUGAUGAAAGUGGAUUAGUGCUUAAGGUGUCUUGCUACUAUAUUACUUGGUGCACAAAAUGCGUUUCUUAAAGCAAGGUGCUAAGAGCCAAGGCAAUAAUGUAGUACUUAAGUCAGAGGUGAAGCUGCCGAUAUUCUUUCAACAAGUAUUAGGCUUAAAAGAGGUGGGUUUGGUUUGUUUGCCCUAGUGACUUUGAUAGCUAAAGAAAACUGCUACGUGGUUUGUUUGCCCUAGUGACUUUGAUAGCUAAAGAAAACUGCUACAAGCAACGGCUUUCGAACACUAAUAAGCAAAGGUUGAUCCUUCAGAGCGUAAGGUCAAUCUGUACUGCUGAAGAAGGCGUAUACCUUAGGUGAGAUAAGUAAGCUGUGUCAUAAGCCGGCCUUUGACUUUGAAAAGUCCCCACGAUAGAAGUAAGUAAUGAAUGCGCCAGUGUCCCGGAAUAGAAGCAAGCAUAUGAUUGAUUGAAUUAAGUGGCUUAAGUGGCACUCAUAAGUAGUCUUGGUCCCAUCACUAUGCCAGCUCUUGUCAUGCGGGCUUACAAAUGCGGAAUAAAAGGGUUCCGUUUGCCUUUGGUAAAGAUGGGGAACACCCGCUCGCUCACCAGCAAAUUCAGGCUUCUUUGAAAAACUUGCUGCGGGGUAGCCCUUCCGUUUUGAAGCCCCUUCCUUCCCGUCCUAUGGAAGACCAAAAGUAGGCCUAUUACGAUAGGAUAGGGCAAAGAAAGCAUAUUCGAGUUUCUUUCUUUGCCGCCAAUCAAGGUCUGUCUUGUAUAAGCGAGCAGGCAGGAAUGAAGGCUAGACCGAUACAAUAAAUAGAUUACCACAACUAGAAUCGAAUUGAUUUCGAAAUGAACUAUAUUCCAAUCAAAGAAAUGCAAAAGAGAAAUAAGGAACCGGACUGGACUAAUAAGGCGGCCUUGAACGUUGAUUCAAUUACUGGUGGAAGGAAGAAUGCAUUACCCAUAGAAGAGGAGAAAGGUGCUAAAAGCCUGCCGAUCUUUGAUCCAACAAAGCUAUGCAAGAAGAAAAGCAUAUACCCAUUGACCGGUACAAAAGCCAUCUCCAUCAAUCUACGCUCAUGGAUGAUACAGUAACUAUAGAGAAAAAGGUGGGCGGGGGGAACGAAAGAAAUGUGUUGCUGAGGGUAGGAGAGAAAGAACACAUGCAUGGAAAUUCUUUAUGUCUAUGGUUAAAAAGAAUCAAUUAUAGGAAAGGACAUCUAAGACUAAAGAAUCAUUAUAGGAAAGGGAAAGCAGUCGUCAAUCAGGCUAAAGAAUCAUUAUAGGAAGGACAUCUAAGGCUAAGGAAUCAUUAUAGGAAGGACAUAACAAAGAAGUGGUGAUCUCAUCUCGUCUUGCUUGCUGGGAGAGAGGAAGCUUCCUUACCACCUUUUCCAGCCAUAUAGCGAGCGAUCACUAAGCAAUGAACACUAACUUCAAGCGUCCGAGAAGGAAGGACGGACUGCCUAUACCUUACGGGAAUGGAACCUCAUUCUUCGACAUUACAAGUGUACGGGGCUCCUUACCUCUUCCUAAUACUUUGAUUCUAUUAUUUAUUUACUUACCUCUUCCUAAUACUUUGAUUCUAUUAUUUAUUUCCAGGGCCAAGUAGACUAAGUGCUAAGGCGUCAGUUCAAUUAUAAGGAGCAAUCGGUUCUGCAAGUGAAGUGGACUACCCGGACUGCUAUGUAUAAGAAAUCACUAUCAAUUAAUUCUUCUCUUUAUGUAUAAGAAAUCACUAUCAAUUAAUUCUUCUCUUAUUAAGGAUAAUGUUUAGAAAGACACUCGCUACUACUCUAGCAAGUCCUGUGUUCGUCAAACCAGCGCAUCGCAUCUACUAAUAGGAGAGUCAGAAAACCACUCAGAACUUAGGCUUUCACUACUCAAUUCAAAGCUGUCCUGACUUACUUGGAUUCUUUAACUCCUAAGCACUGAUCCUUUCUUUACUGAACUCAAAGUUGCCCCAUUCCAACAACGCUUACGACGAUCUUUACUUGUUCAUUGAAACCCACCACUCCUUUCUUUCCAUUUAAAGUAGUAAAUACAAAAUGACUGGUUGGAGUAGCAAAGCCUUACUUUGACUUGUGAGUUGACUUCCACUACGGAGUUGUUUUCUUUAUUAUCAAAUUCCUUAUUCCGUUUUCAUAUGUAAUCGUAUGUAAUAUUGAUUAGUGAUUUAUUAGCGAAACUGGGGCAAAAACCAGUCCCAAAACUGUAGUGAUUUUUCCGUUUACCUGAUAGCUCUUGUGCAGGUGUUCAGUCAACAUAACUCUUCUAGGUCAACAUCUUUCUUCUAAGUAUCGGUGCACUAAGGUACUGAUGUGACUCCCCGUUGAGAUCAAGAAUAAUAAGGAGACUUACCUUACGCAGUAGCGCAUGUGCUAUAGGUGUAUGAGGAAGCCGGGUAUUCAAUUAGAAUCCAAGUUUCAAUAAGGAAUGAAGAGUCAGAGGGCUAGGCUGGAGUUUUUGUUGUAAAUAAAGGAAUGAGAAAUGAACCCAUGCCAACAGGAAUCCACCAACUAACAAUGCAGAAUGAUACUAAUAAGUCGUAAUGUGACUCAUAAGUCCAAGAAGGCAGAUAUCUGAAUAACCCCACUGACAACAUGACGUUAACUACUCACUAUAAGAAUCGUUACUUACUGGAAAGAAUCAAACCACUGCCAGCAAGAAUACACCUAGCGCUGACAGGGCUAAAACAAUCAACUGGGGAUUCAACUACCCACUAUUACACGCCAGAACAAGCCUUAUUUCUCAUAUAGAGGAAAAAAGAGCCUUACUCGCCUGUAGACCAACAACUCAUCUCGGGGAGUCAAUCUUACUUCACAAACCAAGCCCUACAGCCUCUUGUCUCAAACUUCAACUACUCCCUUGGAUUCUGUAAUUCAUAGCUGGCCUUUUCACUCCCCACUCUAAGCCUAUAACAAACUCGGGCUCGGUAAUAACAAAGAGGCGCAGGACACUCUCAUAACUCCCG
rnacentral:lncRNA from 1 species